CUGAUGACGUCUGCGACCCCGACGUCUGCGACCCCGACGGCGACGGCGGUGGCGUCCCACCAGCCGGAUUACUUGAGUUCGACGGCGCCAAUGAUGGCGCAUUACCAGGUGACGAUGGAACCGCCGGCGGUGACGUGGAAGGGGAGGUUCCCGGCGGGGGAGAUACUCCUGUUGGAGCAUUAGCCGCAGGUGGCUGCGAUGACGGUGACGUGGAGGGGGAAGUUCCCGGAGCCGGUGACAGCCCAGUUGGAGCAUUAGCCGCAGGUGGUUGCGAUGACGGUGACGUGGAGGGGGAAGUUCCCGGAGCCGGUGACAGCCCAGUUGGAGCAUUAGCCGCAGGUGAUUGGGAUGAUGAUGGUGACGUAGAAGGUGAAGUUGCCGGCACCGGAGAGUACCCUUUUGGAGGAUAAGGCGAAGGCGCAUGAGAUGAUGGUGACGUGGAAGGUGAAGUCGCCGGCACUGGAGAGUAUCCUUUUGGAGGAUAAGGCGAAGACGUGGAAGGUGAAGUUGCCGGCGUCGGAGAGGACCCUUUAGGAGGAUUAGCCGAAGGUGCAUGAGAUGUUGGUGAGGUGGAGGGGGAAGUCGCCGGCGGCUGUGUGGCCGGAGAAGGAGACUUAGGAGACGGGGCAUGCGGUGGAGGUUUCGUGGUGGGGGGUCCAGUUGAGGGAGGGGGAGGCCUUUCAUGCAAAACGACGACGAUUAAUUUCUGUCCCUUUUGGCAAUGAUCAUGGUUUCCACUUAUGAAAUAGAAAGGACCCGAACGAUCAAGCUUGAACUCUGAGUCACCCGAAUCCAGUUUCAGCAAAGGCUUCUUCGUGUUGCAGCUGUCGUAAUCAUCUUUGUUCACUAACAACACCGAGUCUGAUCCUUUCUUGUACUUGAAAACUGCCAUAAAUUAAAAAAAAAAAAAAAAUCGAAAUCAGCAUUCUUUCAUUAGAUCGUCACCCCCAAACACAGGUUAAGCAGUGAUAUUCAAACAGAAAAUCCUCAAAGAACGCUGACAGAAACAGAGUAAACCUUAAGACUUACAGAGGGUAUCAUUGACGAGGAACCUGUUUCUCCCAGACCAUUUGUUGUAAUUUUCUCCAGGGUUUGUAACCCAGCCGUGUUUGCCACCCACGUUGAAUUUGAGUGCGUGAGAGGAAGAGAUGAAAAAUGCAAAGAGAGCCAAGGAAAGGCAAAGAGAUUUCUGAAACUCCAUUGAACAGAAAUGUGCUCUAGACUUGUGUGUUUUCUGUUUUUAUAUAGCGAUGAAAGUGAUAUAGAUAUGUACGAUGACCCAGAAGCUUCACAGAAAAUCUGCCAAUUGGAAGUUUUUAUUGGUAUUGCUUUUUUACUUGGGAAGUAAAAGAUUUUGGAGAUUUGAUUGGAGAAGGAAAAUCAGAGAUAAGAAGGAAAGUGAAGAUAGAGGCAGUGGCGUUGAUAUAUAAAGAGAGAUUCAGAUUACCGUUUGAAUAGUAAUAGCAAUCAAUCAAUGAAUCCCAAAACUUUAUUAGAGUCGAGCCAGGUGAAGUUAUUGUUUGUCUGCUUAUUAGUCUACGCCUAGUAUUUGGUCUUCUGUUUCUUUUUACAGGUGGCAAAAUCAGAGAACGUGAACGUUGAUCAUGCAAUUGAAAUUAAUGUAGUGUCAAUUGUGGGGUAGAUUGGAGCCUCCCAUGUGUCUCUUCGCACAACCGUGUGAUACACGUUUCAAUUGUAUCUUAAAUUUGUUCAUAAUCAUACGGUACGUAUUUCACUCGAGCUAUUAACUCUUAAUAUUUAGGGGCUUGGAUGAGAUGAAAAACUUCACUCACUAAGCACACACUUAUCACAACUCCUCUCCUAUUAGCACUAAAACUCAUGUGAUUGCACUCACAAUUAGCCGAGCUAAAUUUGGAGGCUAAAAUGUUAAUCUUUAUGAUCAUCAAUACAUUUUAGUCGGCCAAAAUUGAUUAUAAGACUUGUUCUUCCCGUUGAACUAUUAAUGCCUCUUUGUCCGUUGGUGUUGACUUCACAGUUAUGCAAGAUUGGACCAGCUCAAGUCGAAGGGCUCAUAUAUCCAGUGCUUGGCCCCAGGAGUAGACAGAUAGUCUGUUCAUGGCCACCAUUAGUCCUUUCACCAUAAAUAAUUAAACCAUGCUUUGGUGUAGGGAAAGUUUACUGAGUCUCAUAGCCUUUGGGUUAAAAUGAAGGGUGACCCUCCAAGUUUUUAUGACUUUCAUCCUGAAUUAAGUGGCUGUGGUUCUCUUACAUAGAACACAGGAGUAGACGAAUGGUACCUACUCUCAUCUACUGUUUAGUAGAGUCUAGGACAACGGGUGCGCUAUGACAUUCAUGUACCUAUCUAUAUCUACUGAAGUCAUAACAUGCAUGCAUGUGUGUGUGUGUGUGUAUAUAAAAAUUGUCCGCUAAUUUUGAAAAUUCAACAACAAAAGUGUGGAAAAGGAAAAAAAGUGUAAUCUGCAGGAAAUGAAUGAAUAUGGUCAAACAAUCUUCAACCCUCGAGUAAAGGAAUCCAAGAACUAUAACAAGAGCCAUAAUUUUGAGUUUCUGUGUGUGUAUUCAGCUACCUCUGUCACUACUCAUAUGAAAUGUACAUUAUAGGUGGGAAAAGGGUGGUGUCGAGGGCUUGUGUGAACCAAAUACCCCGCAAACAAACAACUUUUUUCACUCAAAUGGAAUUCACAUGAUGCACCAAGAAUUCCCCACCCAGUUCAUAUGAAUGAAAUCAGCCAUUCCCUCAAGAGAAUGUGUAAUAUCAUAAAAUUAAAAAAAAAAGGGAAAACAAAAAGGUCUCUUCAAAAGUCAUACUUUGUUCUCCCACUCAUCAAGAUGAGACACAGCAUAUCUGAAAUGUCAGAAGAAGAACUGAAGAAGUUCCAAGACUCGAGCAUUAGGCGUUUCCUUGAUCCCUUGAAAUGAACAACCUAUACAAUAAUAAAAUCAAUAUUUUAAAAUAAUGCACACUUGAAAACUUUUAUGUGACAGCAAGAGGAAGUCAUAUGAAAAAAACAAAAUAUUUAAACUAAGCAAUUGAAUUUAGAUAUUCAAGCAUACCUUAACAUCCAAAGGCAUUCCAUGAAAUUGGCCUGCACCCUCAGGUGGUGUCCAAUUGUACGUAGCGCAUGGUAGAAAUAGCACAGAAGCUCCAAUAAUGUCUUCAACAAAGGGCUGUGCUUUGGUAAAUCUCCUUGCAUCAAAAGAAGGGUGCGAUUUUACAACCCAGGCAAGAGCUAACUGGUCACCGAGCAUUCUGGAGGCAUUCAUGUAUUUGGAACUGUAAACCCUUAAUACUUCCUCAAGAAAUAUCUUCGCCCUGAAAUCAAUUUCAGGUUGUAAUUUUCUCAAGUGAAUUUUAUUGUCAUUAUUCAUACAGCCUUUCAUGCACCAGGAAAUUGUGAAGGAAGGACCCCAAAAAAAAAAACCUCAAGAAAUAUCUUCGCCCUGAAAUCAAUUUCAGGUUGUAAUUUUCUCAAGUGAAUUUUAUUGUCAUUAUUCAUACAGCCUGAAGGAAAUAGGAAAAAGACAAGAUUGGUUCCCCAAAAAAAAAAAGAAGGAAAUAGGAAAAAGACAAGAUUGGUUCAUGUAUCUUAUAAUCUGUAACGAACUAAUGGACCAAUAACUCCAACCAAUGACCCACAAAGAUUUGCAAGAUAUAGAUUUCAAUUUCAAAGUCUCCGUAACGGACAAUAGAAACAUUUCAAACUUUUUUCCACCACCUAAUUUUAUUCUAGUAGAAAAAGCCUUGCACAGAAGGAGAAAAUUAGGCACCUUGAAAUCCCAUCUGGGGUGCCCCUGACAGCAAUAAAUCCAGAAUUCAGAGGUUGAUCUUUAUUGUUUCUGAAAGUCAGAGCCAGAUGAAAGUUUUGGUAAUCGUGAAAUAUAUGUCCUAAGUCGUCAACCACGGCUAUAUCUGAGUCAGUGAAGACAUAAUGAUUUAUAUGCCCUUGCCCCUGAGAAUGCUCCCGAAUUCUUCUUUCUAGAAAAGUCUGCAUAAACAGAAUAACAUUGAAACAUAAAAUUCAAAACAGUGCCCUCAUAGUUCAAGAAGCAAAAUUCUUGACUAAUUAUUUUAUCAUUGCAAUCUUAAUCGUUAAGCAAAAUAAGACAAUUUUCAACGAUAUCUUCUGAUAUGAAUAAGUAACUAUUAACUCUUUGUGGCAAAUGCAACUAGGGCAUAGAAUGUUCUUCUCGCAAGAAAUGAGACCAAAAGCAAAAUGAAUUUAUUUGUGAGUCUGCACAAGAGUUUGGUGAGGGGGCAAAAGAAAAACUACAAUGAAGGAUUGCUAGGGGGAAAAUAAGUAGAAAGAACAAGAAAAAAAAAAAAAAUCUUGAAAGGGAACAUAAAAUACAAAUGAAAAGCUGGUAAGAAAGCUGCAGAAAUAUACAUAGAUAAAUUAAGACAUUAUAGACAAUUUCUGCAAAUGAUUUUUAUUUCUCAGAAAUAUGAAUGAAAAACAAAAACAUUCUACCUAUUUAUCAGUGCGAUUUGCUCUUACAAUGUAAGACCUGAUUCUUUGAAGCAUCAAUUUGUCUCGUGAAUAUUCACCAUGAAUGGGAUAUAUGGUGACCCCUUUUCUGGGCAUUGAGAGGUCUGAAGCUGGAUCAGUCAGAAUGAAAACAUCACUCUUGGGCAUUGUCACCUGCAAUAAUUUUAUGUUUGAAGUCAUGAAUUAGUAAAAUUUGAAAGCUGCAAACCAUACAGGUCCAUUAAUAGAUGACAUAGCUCUCAAUUCUACUAUGUUAGACAAAGGUAGUUAUGACAAUAAGUAAAUGUAAAUAUAAUUAUCAAUGAUAAGAGUUCCCAAAUACACCAACAUAAAGAUCGCUCUUAAGUUUUAGAUGAGUCAUCCCAAAGUUGCAACAAUAGAUGCUAAAAAUAGUAAAGCUCAAAGUUAAUAUCUGAAUUACCAUGUAAAAUCAAUGAACGUUAUUCUCAGAUUUUUUUUUUUGGAUAAGAAACAUGAACUCUACCCCAGUUUCUGAUGGAUUUGUCAAAGACUUGCCUGAAUAAAGUUAAUGAAGACAUUCAGUAUCGCCAUUGACCUCUCUGUCUUACUAUAUGAAGCAUUUCCAACUGUAACCAUGUUUGAUGCUCUGCUAUCUACAGGAACAUCAAGUGAUGUGUUAUAAAUUGUGAAAACAGUGACAAAGGAAAUGCUAUUUCCAAUGCUAGAGGCUUGGAAAGAGGUCUUGUUGAGAGCUUUUAAUCCUGAGACAGAAAUCAUGGAAUAAAACCUUCAGCAUUAGUAUUGGUAGUAAAACCACUUGACCCAAAAGCUUAAAUUGGUAGGCAAGAGCCUGAUAAUUGUGUUAAAGACAAGUUUUGACAAGUACAAUUAAAGAGGAUGUUUCCAUAGAUUAUGUCAUAUGACCACCAAAUGAGUGAGAGUAUAAAUUACAAUGUGAGAUUUAAAAGGCCUUCACAUCCAAAAAUAUGGAAACUUCUCAAUAAAUAAACUCUAAACAUACACAAUAUGAUCCAAUUCAUAAUUUGAGCAUUCACAUACGUGUUUAUUGGCGGAAAAAGGCUACGGAACUGCAGGGCCAGUUUCAAUUGGGAGAAAAAUACCAUGGAGCUAAUUAGCCAAUCAAUUUCAAAUAUGUUGAAACCACUAUUUUCAAAUUUAAAGUAGAUGAUCAACAGAUAAUAAUGGAUUAAGAAGGAUUUCAUUUUAGAAAUCCAAAAUAGAAAUAGUAAGUCUAUAUUAGCAGGAAAUACUAGCAUAUUAUUUACAAGGACAAUGAACCUACCUUGGCAUUGCAAACGGUUAGGCAACCGUUGGCCAGCAGCUGGACCAAGAAUCAGAUGAUCAAACUUCUGUCUAUUUUUCCUGGGAAGAUCUUCUACAACCGACUUUUCAUGCAAUUCCAGAACUGAAGAUGGACACCAAUCAUUAUUCAAGCAAAAAUUCCCUUUAUAAAUAAAUACAACAUUGAAAUGCUGUAAACGGAAUAAUUAGAAGUAGACCAAAACUAUUACCUGAUAACAGAUAAGGGAGGAAGAAGACCAAAGGGAGAAAGAAAAGGAAACGGCGACAUCCACCACAUGCUCUCAUGCCUAAGCUUCCUUUCAAUGGACCAACUGACUCAAAGAUCAUCUCCAGCACAAAUUGAAUUGAGAAAAAGCAUAAAAUGCACAGUAUGUUUCCUUCGAGUGCCAACACUCUAGUACCUCUACAGCAAUACCAAAUGAACAAAACUCUAUAACAUAAUGCUCAUAUAAACCAUCAAAGCUUAAAGAAGAACAAAACAGCAACUCAAAUUAAGCUGAAAAUCACGGAGGAAUCUAAUUCUACACCGAUCCUACUGCUAAUAUAUACAUAAUACCAUUAUCACAGACAAAAUGCAGAUGAAGCAAGUGCAAGAUCAAAUUUUGCUUUCAAUCGCAUUAUUAUAGCUAUUAAAAGUAAAUACCCAGUUCAUAAAAAGUAAUUUUCUGGUUCUCAGUUUUAUAAAUUCGCGAUACUCAUGAGCAAUUUCCUACAAAACUGAAAAUUUAGAUUGAAUAAUGCAAGAGCUCUAAAAGUUUAACUUGAAUGAACAAAGUUCGGGCAAGAAAAUACUCACCCAGAUACAGAGGAAAAAGAAAAAAACGUUGAUGGCUACAGAAACUGUGCACUUGACGGUUGACACGAGAUCUGGUUACGGCUACUGAGCUUCCAGCCUUCCAUGAUGGUUUUGAUUAAAUAAAUACUCUUUGCUUCUGUUAUUAAUAAUGUCAUAGAAGGAGUAUGAAACUAUGAAACCUAAUACAAAAUGACAAUGAAAUGACGAUAUUAACCUUGAUUCGUCUAAUUACAUGCUUGCCGAUGGUAAUGGGGAGGGGAGACUAUUUGUCCUUCUAUCCUUCUGUUUCCAUUGGAAUUACACGAGAGAAAGGAAUAGAAGUCUCUAAAGAGUACACAAUUCCUGAAUGACUAUUAUAUCUUUAAUUUUUGAACAUAAUUUAACUAUAUUAAAAAUAAAAAAAUUUAAAUAUAAAAUUACGUCACUAUUAAACUAAGUCAAUGCUGUCAAUAUUACAAGUCAAUCUUUUAAACUUAUCCCCAAAAAAAAAAAAAGCGUGAUAAUAUUUCUUGCAUUACCUGUUACAAAAAUCAAACAAUUCAAAUCAUGACAAAAUGACCUCCUCGAUCUUCAUUAAAUAAUAGUGGCAAGUUACGUCAAAGUCUUGAUAUUAAAUAAUAUCUAUAUUUUUUUAAUAAAUAUUGUGAUAUUUGUUAUUACACUCAUAUUUUAAAAUUUAAUUUAAAUUUAAAUAUAUUCACUAACAAUUUUAAAAAAUAAAAAAAUGAUAAAGGAGAAAUUAGCAGGGGAUGACUUUCAUCUAAUUCUCAUUCCUUUCUCGAAUAAGAUAUUAGAUAUGAAAUGGUCCAUGCCCUUCCUCAUAUAAAAUAAUUCCCUCACUAUAUUCGAAUGGCAAAAAUCCCAGCAUUUCCUACUAAUAUAUUUUAAUUUGAUACUUUGACUUAUUCCAAAUGUCUAUUUUCAUUUAAAAAGAAAAAUUAAGACCAAUCAAACACAUCUCAAAUUCCAUCAUAUCAUAAUCCGGUUCUGAGAAACAAUGAAAAUUAUGUGAUCAAGUAACUUCAAAUUUCUAAAACUUUCCCAUAAAAUUAUAAAAUAAAUAAAUAUAUUUUUAAAUGAUGCUAUAGCUUGGGCCGCCGCCGGGCACCAUAUGAGGGUGUCAGGCUAGGGCUUUACAGAAAUAGCCCAAGCCCGACGUAAGACUGGUGUUUAAAAUUUUAAAAAAAUUGUACCAAUUUUUAAUGUUUAAUUAUAAUUAAACCAAGUGCCUUAUUAUAUAACUAAUACAAUUUAUUAGUGAUAAUGAUACGAUAACUGUAAAAAUCUCAUACGUUUCUAUUAUUUUGUUUCAACAAAUACACAUAUGUAUAUGGAAUCGCACAAAUUUAUUUCCAUAAUUUGUAUAAAUGAUUAAUAUACUUUUCCAUAUAGUUUUACUUAAAACAUUAUUUGUUUCCAUCAAUACUUUCGUUGAUUUCAUAUAAUGUACACACACACACACACAAAUUUUUCUACUAUUCGUUAUACAUGAAUACAUUUACUGCACUUAAAUAUUUCUAACUUUAAUUGCCCUUAAAACUUAUGUAAAUAUAAUUUCAAUAUCAUUCUUUGAUAAUUUAGCACCCAAAAACACUUUUUAAAAUAAAUUAUUUAAAAAUUUGAUUCUCCAAUAAUUUAUUUUUGUACUAAACAUUAAAAGUUACUAGGAUUAGCUUUGGAAUAUCAGAUUUUUUUAAAAAAAAUCUGAUAUUAGAAUCUGCAAUACCAUUUUUAUCCUUAUCUUAGAAACAUAUGUCCAAAAAUACCCAUGCACUAAUUUACGUAAUUUAUUAAUAUUUAGAAAAUUUAAUUUUUCAAAAACAACAAAAUACCAAAGCCAUCGCCGGUGCCAGCAAUGUCUCUGUCACCAUCAUCAGCGUCUAGUGGAAGUAUUCCUAGUGCGACACCACAAACCCUAUUAGACUUCAAACUAUCUUCCGUACACAAUGGUUAUGCCGUGGUUAGCGGAGAAGAAAUGAUGGUGUGUCUCCUGUGUUCCUGAAAUAAAAUGGCUACUAUAAUGCUGCCAUGAAAAGGAGACAAAUAAAGGUAAGCUGCCUGCCACUAUCAUCUGAUGGAUUGAUGAUGAUAAUAAUAAUAAUAUACUUAUUUAAUUAAAAAAACAAUUUUUAUCUAUUGCAUAUGUGCUUUAUUUGUUGAUAAAAGAUGAGUUGUUAUAAUUUCAGUAAUUAUUUAAUAAUUAGUUUGAAAUUUGAAUAAAAAUACCAAUUUCUUAACAAAAUGUGGAUAUUUUAAUCAUUUUACACAGACACCGUAUAUUUAAGAUCAAUUUACCAAACAUUUAUAGCAAAUUUAUUGGGAAGUAAUUAUUUUGUAAUCUAAAUUUACCAAACAAGCAACCAAAUUAUUAGUAAAGUUGAUUAUUUCAAAAUCUAGCCUAAAAUAGAUUAUUUGGGAAGCAAAAGCAAUCUCAAACAUACCCUGGCUUCCAUAUAUUCAUCCAAGAAGCAAUGUUUAUGGUUUAAUAUGUUCAUUCUCCUUAGAGAUGACAAUAAAAUCCGGAUUCGGCCUGCAUCCGUAAGGAUCCAUAAAAUAUGGAUCCGCAAAAAUUCAGAUAUGUAUUUUUGAAAAUGCGGAUCCGGAUUUGAAAAACUAAAACCCGCACGGAUUCGGAUAUAAAUCCAGAUGCACUUGCAUGUGGAAAACUGGAUAUCCAGAUCCGGUUGGUUUUUGUUUUAAAUUAAAAUAUAUUAACUUAAAUUAAAAAAAAAAUCUAAUCCCUAGCUGUCAGUGUCGUUCGCUUCCUUCAUUCAACUUUCAUACACACACACUCACCUCACCAACAGCCGUAAGUCGUAUCCCUCAAAUCUCGCUCUCAACUGGUCGUUGUCUUCUGUCGCCUCGCUUGAUUUGUCGUUGAAGCCUCGUUGUCCAAGCCUUGCGGUACUCGUUGAAGAAGCCUCGCUGUCGUUCAACCCUGGCCGUGUAAGCCUCGCCUGAUUGGAAUUAAUUUGUCAGUAAUUUUUUAUAUUUGAUUUAUGUUGUGAUAUUUUUAUUUAUGGAUUUAUGUUGAUGUUAUAUGUUAUUUAUGUUAAAUUGUUAAUUGUUGGAUUAUAAUUGAAUUUUAUUUGAUAUUAUUAAUUAAAUUUUUGAAUUUUUAAAUUAUAUUUUAAAUUAUUUAAUUUUAAGUUUUUGCGGAUCCGGAUAUCCGGAAUAUCGGCCCACAUCCGGAUAUGAAAAUUUUGCCAACCCUAAUUCUUCUUCAGGUUUUAUGUAUAAAUUAAUAAGCUCCUCUCAAACUCAGGCCUUGCAUUUUCUUUAUCUUAGCACCUAAAUCGCCCAUCCAAAUUAAUUUACAAUCUCUUCUUUAAGUCUUCUGAUUCUUUUUUAUUUAUUUAUUUAAAUUAAAUUUACUUUAGGUAUUUUAAUAGCCCUAAAAGAUACUAUUACUUGUCAUAGUGUAGCUAAUAAAUUUCAUCCAGAUAUAUUAUCACACCAUAUAGCGUUAGUGUUUCUGUUCAAUUAACUAUUAUGCCAUAAAAUGUAAUAGCCUGAAUGAAAUUCGCGUUUAGAUACUCGUACUUCAGAAUUUCUAUUCAAGCAUUGGUUCCAGAUAUAGUUUAACGAAGUGAGAGUGGAAUUAUUUAAUGGUUUGUAUAGAUUUAUUGGUUUAGAUCUCCGAUGGAUUCGUGUGUGGGUAGAAGCAAGUCUUCAGACAAAGCAACUGCUAAGUUGAUGAAUAACAAAGUUUUACUAGAAAAGUCAAUAGCCUCUUAGACCUAAAAAAAAAAAACAAAUUGCGGUAAUCUUACGGUGCUGAACAUUUCUUAUGGGAUCUUGUGAAGGAAUAUGUGGAAGAAAAUGGAUUGAAUGUAAUAGCGUGGCUCAAAUAAGUGAGUAGAUAUUGUUUACUUUGGACAUACAACUUAUUACAAAAUUGAUAGUGCUACCUCGAGUUCUCCUACCGUCCUACGAGAGGACUCAAUACAAAAUCUCUUCCCACAAAUGUGGGAGAGAGGAGAUGUUCUUUUAACUUUUAAGGUGUGUGUUUAGAUCUUAUUUCUACGAGAUGUAAAAUUUUAAAUUAUGCUGCUUUAAGGGCACGUUUGGUGGCCUGCAUAAAGUUGCAUAAAAGUACUAUUUUGUAUUAAAUUAAUACACACUCAUGUUUGGCAUCAAAACCAACACACAGAGCAUUGCAUUAAAGGGGUGAGCUAAUAAAGCUUGUCUUUUGUUUUUUUAAACUUUAAUUAUAAUAAUAACUAAAUCUAACUUUUGAUAUAAAUAAUAUAAUGUUAAUGUUAAUUUUUUAUUUUUACAUUAUAAUUAUUAAUAUAAAUCAAUAAUUUAUUAUUCAAUAAUAUUAUAUGAUAUUUUUAAUUUUACAUUAUUAUAUUUUUUAUAUUUAGAUUAUACUUUAUUAGCAGAUUUAUAAUUUAAUAUAACUAAUAAUAAAUAUUAAAAAUAUUAAAUUUUUAAAAUUUAAAACUUUUAUAUUUAAUAUUUUUCUAAGUACUAAUAAAUAUUAUUUUUGAAUAUAUAAUUUAAAUUAAUCACAAAAAAUUAAUACAAUAUAGUACAAUACCAAAUAUUGUAUAAUUAAAAAUUUAUACAGUGUAGUGUAACACCAAACAUUGUACAACAUUAUUAUAAUACAGUAUUAAUGCAAUACAAUAUAAUACAAUACACCGGCAUUAAAAUAAUACAAUACAAUUUAAUACAAUACAGUAUAUCAAACGCACCCUAAGUGUAUAAAUUUAGACUCUUAGACCCUCGAUUGUAAUAUAUUUAUAAUUUUCUCAAAACUAAACAAAUUCAUCUAAGUAGAGAGAAGAUGUCCAUAAUUUACAAUUUGACUACCUUAUAUGGAACAUUUCGGAAACAAAAACGUAGUAUACUGAACUUACUGAACUCUCUUAUAGAUACAAAAUUCUUUCAAGCAUUAUUUCAUAUGAAUGAAUAAAUUGAAGUUUCAGCAUCCUAUAGGCCUACUUGAGAUUAACACAAUCUCUAAAUUUCUAAAUCCCCUAGUUAGGCAUUUAAUAUGUAACGUGUGUUUAUACGUUUUUGUUUCUUAGUUCACGAAGAAACUUGGUUAAACAAAAAUAGACGUUUCUAUCUCUCUGUUUACAAGAAUACUCAAUUUAGUCCAACUUCUGCACGAUGCAAUGAGUUCUAAGAGGUGAUGGCUUGGCAGCAGAGGCCACAAGUUACGCCAAUCCACAAACCCUAUUCAAAACAUGAUAAAGCUAAUAAAGUCAUUGAAUUGGAAGUGAAACAAUUAGUGAAAGUUUGAAAAAGUAAUUAGUUGAUCUAACCUUAACAUAAAGCUUCAACUUAAAUGUAAGAACAACUGAAAGUGGCAUGCCAAUUAAAUAGAAUGUUGCCUAAUUAGCCAACACAGAUAUGUACUGCCAUCCACAUCCUCUUGGACCCCUGCACCAAUUAGGCCGAUUGAUCACUUUAAUUGAAAUCAAAAUUUUAUUAUAGCCCAUAUUGGUAUUGUGAUUGGACAGUUCUAACCUUUAAGUUACAAAAGUAAAAUAUUUAGUAAACGCUAACCGCAGUACUUUAGAAGUUAAAUUAAUUUUAUCACACACUUGUCUGAUGAAAGCCAAAUUUUUUUUAUUAUUUUUGUUAAAAUAAUUUUUAUUAUUCAAUAAAAUCUCUCUUGUGAAGUCGAUUGGAUUAGAGUGUCAUCUAAUCUCGCAUUACACGUUAUUAAAAAUCUUAUUGAGUCGUUGGAUUAGAACGAGAUCUAAUUACGCUUUGAUUAGAGCGUAAUCUAAUCGCGUUGGCUUGAUCCAAUGCUAGAACGAAAUCUAGUUUUCCUACCCUAUUAAUUUCGCUUCUGCUAUGCCUGCUCCAUUAAUUGUUAUCAGAGCGGUUCUAUAUGAAUCGCACAGCUUUCAGGUAUACCCACAUCCAUUCCACCAAAUCCAUCGCCAAAAAAAAAAAAAAAAACCAAAAACAGCAAAACACAAAAAAUCCAGCAAAAUAAAAACUCCAAACGUAAACAACCAUCACAGCUGCCGCAUACAACUAACUCUUGAUUAUUGUUUAGUAUAGUAAGGUUCAUGAUCCGUUUCUACUUAUGCUUAUGAGAUUGAGUAACUUUAUGGAUGUAGUUAUUAUUAUGAGCCUGAAGGGAAUACAAUUAUAAGAUUUAUGAAAGGGCUUGCAAACACCUUAUACACUUUGCAACAUGCAAUUCUUGUAGCAUAGCAAAUUGAAUCACAAACUUUAUAGCAAAUUAGAAGAGAAAGAAGCCAAGCAUUGAAGCAAUCAAGACAACCUCAUCCUCGACACCAAUUUGAGAUCCCUAAUCCUAUCACAAGCCAACAGCCUAAAGUGAAAGACAUACACAUGAAAGAAGUUUGUGCCUCUCCACAUAUCGAGGAUGUGCCUAAAAUUUAAGAUGAAAAUGUACAAUUUAUUAUCGAUUUAAAAUUUCAAUAUGACAAUUUGUGUGAGAGUGUGCAUAAUGUUUCCUUAGAGGAUAAGACAAGCGUUGAAGAUGAUGUGAUUUUUUAUCUCUUUGGGAUUUUUAAAGAAGAAGAACAACCAACUCUUGAUUUGCACAUUGAGCCUAAUAGUACAAUUGAAGUUGUGCAGUAAAAUCAAGUUGAAGAAGUUAAAAUGAUUGAAAUGGUUCUACCUAUUCACAUUGAAGACAAGAAGAUUGUGCUUGAAGAAGAUUAAUUGCAAAGGUGAAACUUAUUGGAGAGCACAUUGAGUGACAAUUGGAGAAGGGCAAGAGUUAUUUAAUCAUUAUUCGUUCUUGGAAGUCAUCAUCGCAACAAAGAAUGUAAAAGCGAAGAAGUUAAUGAAGUAUGGAUUCUUCAAAGUUUCAAGAAAGAUUGAUGAGAAGGACAAUAAGAUGAUUUGCUACUAUACUACAAGUUCCAUCCUCCAUUUGUAUUCAAACUCGAGGAUGAGUUUCUUUUAAGGAGAGACUAAUGUAGGACGUUAUUUUAUGAAUUUUAAGAUUCUAGAAUUUUAUUAUUUAAGAACUUUCUAUUUUAAUUAAAGUCAAUCAUGAUAUUCAUUAUUUUAGGACUUUCUAUUUUCAUUAGAGUCAAUUAAGGUAUGAAAUUUAGUUAACUCAGGGAAGUUGGUUUACUCUAUUAUAAAUAAAGAGAUCUUGUUGUUUUCAUAGCUCAGAUUCAAUUAUUCAAUAAAACUUUUUUUUUUAUAAUUCCCUUUGGAAUUAUUUAUCAAAAUCUCUUUUGUGGAGUCGUUUGGAUUAGAGCAUCAUCUAAUCUCACAUUACAUGUUAUUAAAAAUCUCAUUGAGUCGUUGGAUUAGAAUGAGGUCUAAUCACGCUUCGAUUAGAACAUAACCUAAUCAUGUUGCUUUGCUUUAGUACUAGAACGAAAUCUAGUUUUCUUACCCUAUUAAUUCUGCUUUCGCUACGCCCGCUCUAUCAUAUCAAUUUCAACUAACUACUUACUGUUAUAAAUAUACUAUAUUUUAGGGGCAAACACGGUUUUAAAAAAUAAAUUAUAGUAGAAAAAUAUUAGUUCUAAUUGAUUAUGCAAUUGGAAAUAUAUUAUAAAUUAUACUUUUAAUUAAGUUUUAGUUUUUUUGAAGAUGGUUGUUGAAAUUCAUUUUAUUCUACUUCAUAUAUUUAAAGUGAUCAUUUUAUUAAUUACCUCUAAAAGAAAAAUCGAUGAAUUAAUAGACAAAUAUAUGGUUGAAAUUGAUUUUGUUAAUUACCUCUAGGGAAAAAAAUUCAAUGAAUCAAUGGACAAAUAUUUUUUUUAUAAAUAAUUUCAACAAAUACAUGUGUAGCUUAAACAAAAUACAGAUAAUACACCAAAAGCUGCACAACGCUACUACAAUGACUUAGUAAUCAAUGAAUCAAUGACAAAUAUUCUUUAAUAAUCUCAACAAAUACAUGUGCAACUUAAACAAGAUACAAAUAAUACACCAAAAGAUACACGAUGCAACUACAAUGACUUAGUAAUCAGUGACAAAUAUUCUUUAUAAAUAAUUUCAAUAGAAACAUGUGCAGCAGGUUAAAUGAAAUACAAAUAAUAUAACAAAAGUUACAUGAUGGUACCGCAAUGAUUUAGUGUUGCUAAAAGAUAAAAUCAAUGUGGAUUAAUCACUAAAUCUUUGACAAAAAUAAAACAUAUCACACCAAAUGCUACAAUGAUAUUUUGGUGUUGAUAAAAGAUAGAAUCAAUGUGGAUUGAACAACUGAAUCCAUGUAAAAGUUUAAUAUCAAAGUUUUUUCAUCCUCAGCCCUUGAUUUCCUACAUAACAAUAUAUAUAAAAUAAAUUGUGAAUUAAAAUUUGAUAAAUUAAAAAGAUGAAAAAAAAUCAUAAUAAUUCUUACCUACAAGCCACAAUUAAUCAAAUAAUUCUUCACCAAACAGCCUAACAGAAAAAAAUUCAAACCAGCCUUGUGAGAAUGAGGCCAACAAUAGUUGAUGUCAAGCUUAAGAAAUUAAAGGUAAUGGAAAAAAAAAUCUAAUAGCAUGUCCCCAGAAUUUUAUAAAGCUUAAUUCAAAAGAAUUAGAAGAUGACCCUAAAAUAGAAUUAAAAGCCUUCGAGAGAUAUAUAAUAUAAAAAAAGAGGAGAUGAAUUCAUCCAUUGCACCUAAUAUAAGGAGAACUUGUGUUUGUAAUAUUCUAGCAGUAAAAAAUAACUCCCUCUACGAUGAUAAGAAGUCAAAGGAAAUCAGUAAAAUAGCUGUGAAAAUAAAGGCCCACCAAUAAUAAAUUUACAAGCCAAAUUGAACUCAAAUUCCAAGCAAUAAAUUUGAUAUAAAAUUCGGCUGCAAGUCAACAAUAAUCCAGUAGCUUCAAGUUCUUCUCAAUUCACCAAAUCUUCAAAUAAACCAACCGAUAAAACUCAGAAGCUGCAAAAUAACAGACAAAAACACAAAAAGUGAUAAAAUUAAGAAGCCAGGAUGUGCCCAAGAAGCACUAUCCUUAAAGAAAAGAUUUUGCUCCUUCUCAGAUAAUUUCUAGGUGCGUAAACAGUGGCGGAUGUAGAAAAAUAAUUUAUCGGGAACUAAAUUAAAUAAUAAUAAGACAUAAAAACUGAAAACUUGAAUAUUAUUUUUUUGAUUUAAUGCAAUCUCUAGUUAAACUGUGGCACCCGCAAUUUAAUAAUUAGGAAUUAUAAAUAUUUUGAGCUGUGAGCUUUGAUUUUUAAGUCAAAGUAUAACUUUUGUAAUUAAUAAAAUAAUAGUUUAAAUUUAAAAGGAUGGACUAUCUAAUAAUUUGACAAAACUAUUUAGAAAUAUGUUAAUUUUUCUUUAUGAAAUAGAGAUUUUUUUUUUCAGUGUGGGCUUAAACCUCCAGUGGUCCUAUAGUGAAUCCGCCUCAGUGCGUAAAGGAAUUAAAGACAGUUUGACCUUUCAGAAUUCAAUGGUGUUACAACUGUAAUAGCGCACUCCAAACUACAGUUGAUUCGAACAACAAGUUUUAAUUUGUUUUCCCUGUAAUUGUUUUGUUGAAGAAGGAGAAGAAGAAGAAAUGAAAAUUUUCAUAUAGGUAAUCAAUCACAGCAGCUUGCCUUUACGGCCUUGAAUUACCCAACGACAUCCCUCGAUUUUUGCCAAAAAUCAGCUUCAACCCGAUUUACUCCUGAUAUCCAGCAACUGCUGCAAUAUAAAGACAUGGAGUUUAACCAAAUCCAAUCGGUUCAAUGAACUGAUUUUAAUUCAAAACACAACAAAUAUAUUCGGCUUUUAUCAAGUGACUAAGAAAUGGGCCAACCCCGUGUGCUCAUUGGUGAUGACCACAUCUGUUUUGUCAAUUUGGAAUAGUGGCAUUUUGAAAUACCUCACAAUUUAUAACACUUAAUAUCAGUGGCUUUUAUUUAUUUAUUCCAUGAAUAGAUAGGAUUCGGUUUCGAUGGCUGAUUCAGAGACUUGUUAGAGAGAAUAGAGAGAAUGAAGAGUGGGUUAGAGUAAACAUAUUAUUUGCACUAAACACUUUAGUUAGGUGGCAUUAUAGUAAUUAAGUGGACCAAAUGGUUACUAGAGAAAAUACAAGAUAUUUAAAUUAAAAAAAUCAAUCAAUUAAUUUAUUUAUCCUAAGUUAGUUAUUUCAUACUGAUAAAUAUUGAAAAUUAUUAGCAUAUGAUUUGAUUAAUUGCAAACCAAAACUUCUUAUCACGCAUGUUAAUGUAAAUUUAAAGUUUGUUAUAAUUGAACAAUUAUAUAUUGUUAAACCUUGAUUGAAUUUAAUCAACCAAGAAUCCCCAAGACUAGUUAAUCUCUCUUAUAUUUGAUAAAGAAACACUAAGUAAACACAAAAGAAACAAAAGCAAAACUGAAGGCGGCAAGCAAAAAAGAACAAAUUUAUAGUGGUUCGGCUUGGAGAUGACCUACAUCCACUGAAGAACAGAGUAGUAGUCUUUAUUCAAUCACCAAGAUCAAGAUACAAGCUUAAAGAUGAAGUUACAAGCUUCUCAUUACUCGAUUUCCUCUCUCCUAAGGCUAUAAAUAUUCGCCCAAGAAAACCCAAAAAGUUCUUUCACCAGUUAGCUGAAUUCUGGUUUGUUAACAGCCAAAACUCCAGAAUUUUCCCGCUCUUGUAACAUAAUAUAACAGUCUCUGAGCCACGUGUUCGCAACACGUUAAACGAAAGCCCCAAAACGACAACUCAACAGGUCGUAAAGAUAAGUGAAAUCAUGUGAUAGCCACGUGCUUUACUUAUUCAGAAAUAGCUGAUGAAACAAGAUUGUCAUACGAUCUAAAGAGGGCUUCACUGACAUGUCAUAUACCACUACAACCGCAAAUCGACAUAACAUAUGACUUUCUGGAAACCUAGUUUCAAAUAGGGAUGGCAAAAAUCCCCACAGGGACGGUAUCUUCGGGGAUUUUUCCCAUUCGGGGAGGGUAAGGAGAUAAUUUUAUGCUCAAUUUUUUAUUCAGAGAGGGGACGGGAAAAAUUUUUUACCCAAUUUUUUAUUCGAGGAGGGGACGGGGAUGAGGUGGAAUCCCCAUCCCCUACCCAUUUCCCCAUUUUAAUUUUUAAUUUUAUUUUUAUUUUUAAAAUUACUAAUAAAUAAAUAACAAAAUUAUAAAUAUUGUUAAAAAUAAUAAAUAUCAAAAUAUUUAUAUUAUUAAACUUUUAAACUUAAUUAACUAAUUAAAGUCUUAAAUUUUUAAUCCAAACCACAAUUAUACAGGAGAGAGCUGCCUAAUUAUAAUUUACAACAGUCCUAAUCCUAAUUCGUAUCGGACGGGACAAUGAACGCAAUACCAAAUUGGUAAACCUAUUCUUGUUCGGAAAGAAUUUCCAAAAGUUGAAAUUCGUCUCAGAUUUUGAAAAGCUUGCCUAUAAAUACACAGCUCUCUGUUCUUGUGCGUUUAGGGAUGGCAAUGGGCACCGCCCGCAGCGGGUUUGCCAUUACCAAACCCAAACCCGCACAAAAUUUAAAUUACCAAACCCACCCGCAACCCGCAGCGGGUUUUAAUUUUUUUUAAAAAACCCACCCACAGCGGGUUUUAACAAUUACCAAACCCGCAAUGGUAUCCGGCGGAUUUUUUACGGGUUUCCGUAUUUAAAAUCACAAAUUUUUAAUAUAUAAAUUUAUAAUAAUAACCUCAAAUUCCAUAUAACAUAUUCAAUUUUAUAUUUAAACAAUAUAUUAAUUCGAAGGGAAAUGUUUUUAAUUUUCUUUAGGUUAUGACUUUAGAAUAGAAGAUGAGCCAUAUACACACAUACACAACUUUGAGCCUUUGACUAUUUGGUAAUUUGAUUAAUUACAUUAUUUUCUUUAUAUAUUUUUAUAUUUAAAUUAAAUUAAAAAUAUUUGAAAAACAUUAUUGCGGGUUUGGUGGAUAUCCAUGUGGGUAUCCACCGGGUAUAAGGUUAAUACCAAACCCACCCGCAUCCAUGUGCGGGUUUUAAUUUAUAAUACUAAACCCGCCCGCAACGGAUAAAAUUACUCGCAACGGGCGGGUUUUGGCGGGUGGGUUUGAGUGGGUUUGAGUGGGUUUGCGGGUACAAUUGCCAUCCCUAUGUGCGUUCCAAAUUAAAAAAAUCCCAAGCGAACAGCGCACGCUUACAAUUGUCUUUGUCAAGUCAGUCUUUGCAAAUUAAUCAAAGUCUUUGCGCGUUCAGCACUCUUCUUUGGUGGCUUUUUAUUUAUCACUCACAUCACACCACAUCCAUUCACAUGCCAUCAUUUAUGCGCCACAUCACCAUUGUCAAAUAAGCAUUCACGAUCAACAUCCACAAGUAAGUCUUGAUUCUUGCAAUUUAUAUGUUUAAUUUUUUAUUAUUAAUUUCUUUCAUUCACAUCUCAUAAGUAAACUAAGUUUUUGUCAUUUUAUAUAAUGAAAGUGGAAGACAACUCUGAUGCUUUAUUGAUUCUAUAAAAUUCUUGUGCACAAAUCUUUUUAAUUGAAAAUUUAAAUUGAUAUUAUGUUUAAUUUAUUUUAUUUUGUAUAUUUUUAGACCAAUAGAAGCAAACAUGUCAAGUGCUACACCAACACCACAAUUAGUGGAUGUAGUCCAUGUGGAUGAUGAUGGUCAAACAGAAAAUGUUAUUUCGGAUGGGUCAUCAAAAAGAGGAAGCACUAGAAAAUUAAGAUCUAUUGUCUGGGAUCAUUUUGAGAAAAAGAUAAUUAAUGGGGAACAAAAGGCAGUAUGUAACCAUUGCAAUUCCAAGUUGGUAUCAAGGCAAAAUGAUGGAACAAAGCAUUUGCAUGACCAUAUGAAAUCGUGUUUCAUGAAAAAACAAAAAGAUAUCAAUCAUUACAUGACAAAAUUGAAUACUGUCAAGGAUGAUAAAGGACAUUCAAAGGUAGAAUCUUUUGUUUUUGAUCAAGAUGUCACAAGGAAAACAAUUGCACGUGCAAUUGUCAAGCAUGAAUAUCCGUUAAGUAUCGUUGAUCAUGAAGGAUUUAGAGAGAUAUUAUCCUCGUUUAACCCAAUGUGGAAGCAUGUGUCCCAAAAUACAAUUAAAAAGGAGAUAUUGGAUUUGUAUGAGAACGAAAAGGCUAAGAAUUUGAAUGCCUUGGCGAGCAAUCAAAGUAGGCUGGCCAUCACAACAGAUAUGUGGACUGCAGAUACCCAAACAAAAGGGUACAUGGCAGUUACUGGACACUUUAUUGAUGAUUCUUGGACGUUACGGAGUCUAGUUUUGAGGUAAGGUCUUUAUUUUUUAUUUUUUGUAUUUAACUUAUUUUUUAAUGUUAAUUAAAAAAAUUUAACAAAAUAUAUAUAUAUAUUUUUUAUUUUCUUCUUGUAGGUUUCAGCAUGUAAAAGGUUCACAUACUGGCUUAAAGCUUUGUGACACAUUAUUUAAUUGCUUGAUGGAUCUCCACCUUGAACAUAAGGUAUCUUCUGUGACUGUGGACAAUUGCUCUGCCAAUGACCGCAUGAUGGAAUAUCUUUUGAUUAAGCUUAAUAAAGAUGAUCUCAUUUUACGUGGACAAUUAUUUCACAUUCGUUGUUGUGCCCAUAUAUUAAAUUUGAUUGUCAAAGAAGGUAUGACUGUGAUUAGUGAUGGAAUUGCAAAAAUUCGUGAGAGUGUUGUUUUUUGGACUGGAUCAUGUAAAAGAAAGGAGAAGUUUGAAGAAUUUGCUAGUCGUUCAAAUGUUAAAUAUGAUAAACAAUUAGUGCUUGAUUGUCCUACUAGGUGGAAUUCCAUAUAUCUUAUGAUUUCAUCUGCUUUGCAAUAUAAAAAUAUUUUUCUUCGAUUAAAGGAUAUUGAUGGACAAUAUAAGUGUUGUCCUAGUGAGGAAGAUUGGCAGUUUGCCAUUAUUUUGGAAGAGAAUUUGAAAAGUUUUUAUGAUGUCACUGAGUUAUUUUCAGGAACUAAGUAUCCAACAACAAAUGUAUUCUUGCAACAUGUGUGUGAGAUUAAAUUAUCUUUACAAGAUUGGCUUUUAUCACCUUGUGAUAGGAUUCAACAUAUGGCUCAGUUGAUGUUAUUGAAAUUUGAUAAAUAUUGGCAAGAUAUGAGUGGAAUUUUGGGUGUGGCUUGUAUCUUUGAUCCAAGGUAUAAAAAGAAGUUCAUUGAAUAUUACUUUUCUAUGGUUUAUGGUGGUGUUAAAGAGUUGUAUGUUGGGAAAGUGGUCAUCCUUUGCCGGGAAUUAGUGGAAGAGUAUCAAUUGAAGUUUUCACCAACUGUUUAUUGCUUUGAUUAUACUGGUAGUAGUUCUUCUACUAGAUCUACAUGAGAUUCUUAUAAGAAAGCAACCAAAUGGAUGACAAGUUUUGAUGAUUAUGUAAACAAUGGAGAUUGUGCAGUUGUUGCAGAUGAAUUAGAUUCAUAUUUGGAUGAGAAAGUUAUAUCUCGGAUGGAAGAUUUUAAUAUUUUGAGUUGGUGGAAGACAAAUGCUAAUAGGUAUCCUACAUUAGCUCGAAUUGCUAGAGAUAUUUUGGCAAUUCCAAUUACAACAGUUGCUUCUGAAUCAGCUUUUAGCACCGGUGGUAGAGUUGUGAGCCCACACCGUAACAAACUUCAUCCAAGCACAUUGGAGGCCUUAAUGUGCUGUCAAAGUUGGUUACGAGCUUACAAUAGCGGUAUGAGUUUAUUUUAAUAUGAUUAAUUUAAAAUCGAAAAUAAAAAAUGUAUUAGACUAUUAAUUAUUCGGGGACCGGGGACCCUCGGGGAUCCCGCAUCUCUCAAUUUGCCACAUUUCUCGAGGAAGAACAGGAGGAGCAAGACGAGCAGGAGGUAAAUAGUUUUAUUAAAAAUAUUAAUUAAGUAUCUACAUUUAUUUCAUUUAUUUUAUUGCCGAUAUAAAAAUAAUUUUUUUUCUAAGAUAUAUUUUGAACUUUAUUUUUAUCUGAAUUUUUUUUUAUUUUAAUAUAAUUAAUUUAAAAUCGAAAAUAAAAAAAUGUAUUAGACUAUUAGUUAUUCGGGGACCGGAGACCCUUGGGGAUCCCUUGUUAUUAUUCGGGGAGGGGAUGAGAAUUCUCUCAAGCAAUUCUGACGGGGACGGGGACAUACGCAAAAUAUCGGGGAUGGGUAUGGGGAGAUUGGUCCCCUCCCCAUUGCCAUCCCUAGUUUCAAAGCUCAUACUUCAACAUUCUCCACCUUGAGCUUGAAACCCUCAUGAACCUGCUACUCUUCUCUUCAACUACUUGUCACUUACUCUUGACAGAUUCUUGCUAAUUCUAAGCAAAGCUUAAACUUAGCAGUUGUAACUGAUUUAGUCAGCAUAUCAGUAAUAUUCGUUUGUAUGAAUCUUCUGCAGCUUCACUGUUGCUUUUGACACUUCCAGCCUUAUGAAAUGCACUUUGAUAUCGAUAUGCUUGGUUCUUUUAUGGUGUGUUUGAUUUUUGCUUAAACAAAUAACACUCUAGCUGUCACAGUUUAUUACUAUUGACCUCUGAUCAACACCAAGCUGUUUAAGUAUUCCCUUUAGCCAGAUUGCUUCUUUAACUGCUUCUGCAGUAGCUAUGUAUUCAGCUUCUGUUGUUAAAAGUGCCACAACACUCUACAUUUGAGCCUUCCAAUUGACAGUACAAUUGUUGAAUAUGAAAAGAUAUCCUGUAAGUGACCUUCUUCUAUCUAGGUCCCCAGCAUAAUUAGCAUCCAUAUAGCCAACAGUCUAACUGUUAUCUUGUCUUUGUCCUCUAUACAUUAAACUAUAUGUUGUUGUUCCAUUUAGGUACCUGAGUAUCCAUUUUACAGCCCGCCAAUGUUCCUUACCAGAUUUGCCAUAUACCUGCUUCCAACACUCACGACAUGGGAUAAACCAGGUCUAGUUAAGACCAUAGCAUACAUCAGACAACCUACAACACUUGCAUAAGGUAUAUUCAUCAUCUCAGACACUUCAUCUUAUGCUUUUGGACACUGUUGUUUAGAUAACCUGAAAUGAGGUGCUAAAGGAGUUUGAACUGGCUUUGAGUUUGCCAUUCCAAACUUAUCAAGUACCCUUAUGAUGUAUUCUUCAUGACUAAGAAACAAAAUUCCAGAUUUUCUGUCUAUAUGUAACUACAUUCCUAGAAUUUUCUUUGCUGGACACAAAUCCUUCAUGUCAAACUCUCCCUUAAGUUUCUGUUUCAAGUUUUCAAUUAGACUCAUACUCACACUGGCAAUGAGCAUAUCAUCUACAUACAAUACCAGAUAAACUAUCACCCCUGACUCCUCUCUGAAAUAGACACAACAAUCCACGUUACACCUCUGAAAAUUUUGCUCCAACAUAAAACUGUCAAAUCUGAGGUACCACUGUCUUGGAGACUGUUUAAGUCCGUACAGAGAUUUCUUCAGUUGACAAACCUAAUCAGCCUUUGAUUCAUCUAUAAAACCUUCAGGUUGUGCCAUUACAAUAUGCUUUUGUAACUCCCAUGUAAGAAUGUUGUUUUUACAUCCAUUUGUUCAAAGUGCAUAUUGUUUACAGCCACCGGUGACAGGAUGAUUCUUAUAGAGGCAUGCCUUACUACAUGUGAAAAUACCUCAGUAAAAUCAAUGCCCUCCUUUUGAGUGAACCCCUUUGCAACAAGUCUAACUUUGAAUCUCCUUGGUUCCACCCUUGAGAUGCCGUGCUUGAGUUUGUAAAUCCAUUUGCAGGCUAUCACUUUCUUCUUUUCUGGUUUUCACAAGUGCCCAGGUGUCAUUCUUAUACAAGGAAUCCAUUUCCUUUUUCAUGGCUUUCAACCACUGGUCUGCAUUCUUCCCUGAAACAGCUUCCUUAUAUGAUUUAGGUUCAUCAUAGUCUAGUUCAUAAGCUACUGUCAAUGCAUAUGCAAUCAAAUCUGCAUAUGCAUACUUUUUAAGUGCCCUUAUAACUCUCCUUUCUCUAUCCCUGGCUAGCUGAUAAUCCUGCAAUGCUGUUUGACUGUCUGGAGUUUCAUUAGAAUCAUUUAUUUCUCUGCAUUCAUCUUCUACUACCUCAUCAGAUAUUGUAUUUCCAAAUUUUUGAGUAAGCUCCACCUUAAUCUGAUUAUUAGGUAAACCAAAGUCCUUGUCUAUGUCUCUAAGUUUCUGUGUAUAACUAUUAAGCAUUUCUUGUUCAUUGAAGACCACAUCUUUACUUACUAUACACCUAGGUAGUUUUAAAUUAGUUCACCAAAUCCUAUAACCUUUUAUACAUUCAGGAUAUCCAAGAAAAACACAUUUUAAAGCCCUAGGCUCAUGUUUCCCUUGUUUUACAUGUGCAAAUGCAGGGCGACCAAAUAUCUUCAAAUCAAAAUAGUUUGCAGCCUUGUCAGACCACAUCUCUACAGGUGUUUUAAAGUUUAUGGCACUUGAUGGACUUUUGUUGACUAGAUAGCAAGAUGUCAUCAAUGUUUCAGCCCAUAAAGACUGAGGAAGUUUUGAAUGAAUCAACAGACACCUUACUUUAUCCAUGAGUGUUCUGUUCAUCCUCUCAGCAAGUCCAUUUUGCUGUGGAGUAUGCCUUACUGUCUUGUGUCUUACAACUCUAUUAUGAGCACAGAAAUCAUCAAACUGUUGAUUGCAGAAUUCCAAUCCAUUAUCAAUCCUUAGCCUCUUGACCUUUCUACUGGUUUCUGUUUCUACUAGUGUUUUCCAUUACUUAAACUUCUCAAAGACUUCAUUUUUACCCUUCAAAACAUACACCCAAACCAUUCUAGAAUAGUCAUCAUUCAAUGAUAGGAAGUAUUUAGCUCCAUCUAAAGAUACUGUCUGUGCUGGCCCCUACAGAUCAAAGUAGAUGUAAUCUAAGGUCCCCUUAGUCUUAUGCACUGCAGUUUUAAAGCUAGUUCUAGAGGAUUUACCUAGAACACAUACCUCACAGAACUCAACAGGACAUAAUUUAUCACCCCUUAAGACUCCCUGACUUUCUAAGACUUUUAGCCCAUUCUUACUCAUGUGCCCCAAUCUCAUAUGCCAUAUAAGUGUCUUAUUAAGAUUCUGACUUGUUGAGACACUAACCUCCCCUGACACAGCAAUUUGUUGCAGCACAUACAAGCCAUUAUUUUUAGUCCCCUUCAUUAUCACCAUUGACCCUUUAAUAAUCUUCAUAACACCAGAUUAUAUUUUAAUGGUACAACCCAUUUGAUCAAGAAUUCCUAGGGAUAUUAAGUUCCUCUUUAAAUCAGAAACAUGCCUAACUUCAUUAAUCACCCCAUCAAACAUCUUAAGUCUAAUGGUUCCAAGACCAAUUAAUUUGCAAAGUGAGUUGUUUCCCAUCAUAACUUCCCCACCAUUAAAAAGCAUAUAAAUGGAAAAAAAAACAAGAUUCUUAUCAGGGCACAUGUGAUAAGUACAUCCAGAAUCUAGAACCCACUUACCAUUGGUUUGAGUUCCAGUGGCCAAAAGUACACUAGUUGAGUCAUAGCCAUCAUCAUCCAUUUCUUCGGAUGCAACAUCAACAUCUCUAUUCUUUUUGAGCCCAUCGUUUCCCUUGUUCUUUCUUUCUGAACAGUCUCUCUUGAAAUGUCUUUCUUUGUGUCACUGGAAACAUUUCAGAUUCUUAUUCUUUGACUUAGACUUCCCUCAUUUUUUGUUCUUGUUAUUGUUAUCUUUUUUUUUCUGGUCUACCCCUUAUUGUUAAGCUUUCUCCAUCAUUUACUUCUGACUUCUUUGUCACCUCUUUAGAACUGAGAGAAUAUUUUACAUCAGCCAUUGUAAUUGACUACCUUCCAUACAACAAAGUAUCUACAAUAUGUUCAUAGGAAGAUGGGAGAGAUGAUAACAAGAUUAUUGCCUUGUCUUCAUCUUCCAGUUUCAUGUUGAUAUCUUCAAGAUCAAGAAUGAUCAUGUUGAAGUUAUCAACAAAAACUUUUCAUUUGUUUAAUUGCUCAUGCCACAUAGUAUCACCUAUACUCUCAGUGACUUGACCAAUAGUUCAAUAAGUCAUUUGUAACCUCGAUAACCCCGUCAGUAGUUUAGUACGUCACCUGCAACCUUAAUGACCUAGUCAGUAGUUCAGUAAGUCAUUUGUAACUACGCGCAAUGAGCUAAAACCUUAAAUACAAUUUUAAAUAUUUCAAUAUGAAUCAUUGAGUAAUAUUUCGGUAAAACUCUCUUAUAAGACAUUGAAUUGGCAAAGCUUUAUGAAUAUUUUAAAGAAAAAUAAUUUAUGGAAAGACAAUUUAAAAGUCAUUUUAAAAAUAAUUUAAGAAGACAUUUUAAAUAAACUUUUAAUCAAAAUAUAAUUUGUUAUCCUAAGUUAUAAGAGUAAAAUAACUUCAAAACCAUAAAAUGCCAAUCCAUAUGAACACGAUUAUUCAUUUCGUAGAUAUUUACAUAUAUAACUAUAAUAAACAUUAUGCAUGAAUUUAUUUACCUUGAUCCAAAGCAACCAAUAAUAAUCCCAAUCACAUAAGCUCACUCUUAGCCUAUAAUUAUUAAGGUAAGCUUCUUACCAAUAUUUAUUCAAUUCUGACCUUGAUAAUAAAACAUAAAAAUCCUUAAACUAUUUACUCUUAUUUAAGCACAUCAAUUCAUUAAACUACACUAGACCAUUUUACAAGAGCUGAUUUCUAACAAGUUAAAAUUAUGUCAAAAAAACUAUAAAUAUUACGAAAAAACUACUAUGAACAUAUUGGCAUUCAAUAUAAAAGUUAACAAGAUUAAUUAGAGUUCAUAAACAUCUCUGAAAACUAAUUUUCCCCGAAAACAUCAAAACUGCCCAGUGAUGAUAUAAUAGAAGACGGUUGAUUCAAAAAUUCAAAACUUUAGUUAUAUGUAUUCAAAGUUUUGACAAUUAGAGGAGACAAUACAGAAUCAUAAUUAAAAUUUUUAAGGCAUUUACUAAUUAAAAAAAUGACCCAAACUCGCUUCAAUAUCAACUCUCGUAAUUUUAGAAAACAGUUUACAAGAUUGUGGCAACCCAACUCUAUGAUUUUUAUAUAAAGCCAAAAAUUACGAAAUUAAGGGCAUUUAGGUUAUGAAAUAAAUUAUAAAAGUGAGAAUUGUUGCUAAAAAUCAGAAUUUUCCAGCACCAGAGUUCCAACUUCAAAAAAUCAAAACAAUUAAUAUACAAUGAGUUUUUGAAUGAUCAACAUAUGGAUUGAAAGACAAAGAUACCAAGUUCAAUAACUAUAAAGUUUUAUGCAUGAAACGUAAUGAUAACAAUAGUAUUAUAAUAUUGUAUCUAUAUUGUUCAUAACUUUCAGGAUAACAUAAUAGCACUACCUUCACUCAAUAAAAACAUAAAUCAAUACUUUUACAAUUGCAAAAUUUAGAGUUGCUAUUCACGAUUGCAAGCUUUUUGACUUAAGAAGCAGAGGAUACCCAUUUACUUGGUCAAACAAGCAGCUUGAUAAUGUUUUAUUGAGGAAAAACUGGAUAGGUUUAUGUGCAAUUAAGGGUGGAAAACUGAAUUUUAUGAUGACUUGGCUGCAAAUUUAGUUCAUUGGGAGUCUGAUCAUAGCCCAAUCAUGAUAGAGAUCAAUGGGAGACAGAGGAGCCUAAUGUAUGAGAAGAAAACCUUCACUCUAUCAAUUAUAAAGACAUGUGGAGCUUUUAUGAAACAUGUAGGAGCAUUGCGAAGGAGGAGUUGUCCAAAUGGUACACUAGCAAUGAAGCAAGUCAAGUCCAUAUGUUUUAAACUAUUGCUAAAAGAUCAACGGAACAACUGAUUCUUUGGAGCCACGAAAACAUUUGGUGGUAGAGAUAAGAAACUGAAAAAGCUAGUGAAAAGGUUGAAACAAGCUAAAGAGAGAGAGGAUCAAUAUGAAAAGGGGAAUGAAAUCAAAAGAAUUGAAAAGCAAAUUCAAAGCAUGCUGAUGGAUGAAGAGGUGUACUGAAAACAGAGGUCAAUGGCUGACUGGUUGAAAGAAGGGGAUAAGAAUAUCAAAAUUUUUCAUGCCAAAUCUUCUUUGAGAAGGAGAAAGAACUUGAUUAAGGGCAUUAAAGAUAAUUUAGAGAUUUGGCUUGAGGAUAUGGGGGAUAUAGAGAGCAAAUUAUGUGACUAUUUUCAAGGUUUUUUUCACUACUUCACAACCAAAUAUGGCUCAAGUAGAGGCUGCUUUGCAGAGAAUGAGCCUAAAAGUUGACUCAGGGAUAAAUGCUUUCUUAGAACAGCCUUUUUACAGCAGAGGAAAUCCAAUCAAACUUUCUCAAAUGUGCCCAGCAAAGGCUCUAGGCCUAGAUAGAUUACAAGCUAUUUUUUUUCUAAAAGCCCUAUAAAGUUGUUAAAAUAGGAGUCAUUUCAACUUGCCUUUAUGUUCUAAAUCAGCAAGGUACCAAUACUCCACUAAACAAUACAUACAUUGCUUUGAUUACCAAAGUUGUUAAGCCUAGAAAAGUCAUUGACUACAGACCAAUCAGCCUUUGUAAUAUGAUAUUUAGACUAAUAGCCAAAGUCAUAGCUAAUAGGUUAAAACAAAUCCUUCAUUAUAUUAUAUCACCAAUGCAGAGUGCCUUUGUUCCAAAUAGAUUGAUAACAUAUAACAUUAUUAUUGGCUAUGAGUGUUUACAUAAGAUUAAGCAUAGCAAGGGAAAAAAUAAGGGUUCAGUGGCUCUAAAGCUAGCUAUAAGCAAAGCUUAUGACAUGGUUGAGUGGUCUUUUUUAAGGUAUACUAUGGAAAGACUAGGCUUCUCCAACAAAUGGAUAAACUUAAUUAUGGACUGUAUAACCAUCCCUUUUUUUCUAUGUCAUUAUUAAUAGUGUUGCAAAGGGCCUUAUACACCCUCAAAGGGGUUUAAGACAAGGUUGCCCCUUAUCUCUCUACUCGUUCUUCAUGUGUGCAGAGGUUUUUUCUAAUAUGCUGAUGAAUACAGAGGAAAAAAAAAACUAAUCCAUGGCCUGAAAUUUGAUGAAAAAUCUUACAGUCUCAUAUUCAUAAAGGCUUCCAUAAAAGAUUGCAAACAUUUGAAAAAAAUAUUUAAUUGUUAUGCAGCAGCUUCUGGACAACUCUUCAAUUUCGAGAAGUUUUCUAUGUUUUUCAGUGGCAAAGUCUCAGGAGAGUAAGUGGCAGCAAUUAAAAAAAAAAUUCAACUUAAUGUAGUCUCCAGACAUGAAAUGUAUUUAGGAUUACCUUCAAUGGUGGCUAGAAAGAAAACAAGUUUCUUUAAUGAGCUUAAGCUUAGGGUCUUGAAUAAAGUCUCUAGUUGACAACACAAGCUGUUUUCCAAUAGGAGCAAAGAGAUUCUUAUUACGCCAGUUGCCAGGCAGUCCCAGCUAUACCAUGAGCAUCUUUACAAUCCUUUUAGGCCUUUGUAAUGAUAUCUAGAGAGCCAUUGCAAGGUUUUGGUAAGGGUGAAAGGAGGAUAAGAAAAGGAUCUAUUGGACAAAAUAAGAAAGAAUGAGUUGUGCCAAAAGUAGAGGAGGGGUAGGCUUCAGAGAUAUGUCAAGCUUUAAACAAGCCUGAGUUGCAAAGCGAGGGUGGAGGCUAAUUCAAUACCAAGAUUCAUUGAUGGCGAAAGUUAUGAAAGAUAUAUACUUUAGGCAAAAUGACUUUUUGAAGGCUAAGGCAUGUUAUAACCCCUCAUUCAUAUAGAGAACUAUGUUAUGAGGUAGGCAGGUUCUUCAAAAAGGCCUGAGAUGAAGAAUGAGAAGGGGAGACAAAAUCUUAAUUCAGUCCAGCAACUGGCUUCCCAAACCUACAAUUUUCAAACCAAUUAUCAGGCCAUCUUUGCCCAUAGAAGCUAAAAUAUCAGAACUCAUUGGCUCAGAUCACUAGUGGAAUGAAAGAUUAAUUGAUGCAAAUUUUGCAAAUGAGGAUGCAUAGUGUAUAAAAGUAAUACCACUUCUUAGAACUCCACAAGAGGAUGUGUUGUUAUGACACUAUGACAAAAAGGGGAUGUACUCAAUAAAGAGUGGUUAUCAUAGAGCCCUCAACUUUAAAUUCUCUAAACUUCCAACAGGUUCAAAAAGGGGAUUGCAGGGAUGGCACAAAAUCUGGAGGUUAGAUUUACCAGAGAAGAUCAAGAUUUUUUUAUGGAGAACUGUAAGGAAUUUGCUAACAACGGCUGAUAAUUUGUGGAAGAGAAAGGUCAUGCAGGAACCGAUAUGCCAGAUGUGCAAAGCUAAGUGUGAAGAUAUUUUCCAUGCUCUGAUGGAAUGCAAGGUGGCUAGGAAAAUUUAGAAAUUCACGCACUUGGAAGAUGAAGUUAAACAGAUUAUUAGAAAAGACAUAUUGAGUGUGAUGUAUAAAUAAUAGACAGCUUGGAUAAUAAUGAGUUUAACUAUAUAGCUGCAAUAUGGUGGAUUACGUGGAAUGCAAGAAACAAGCUUAUCUUUCAAGGGAAGAGGCCAAAUCUCAUUUUAUUAGCAACCAAAGCUAGAGUUGUUAUGGAUGCUUACAAAAAAGUGUAGGGAAAGCCAAAAGAAUCCAAAACAGAUUUUCAAACUAGGAAGCAACAUGAAUGGAAACCACUGUUGAGUGUUAGAAAAUGCAUAUUUAUAAAGGAGAAAACCGUCAUUUUACAUUUCAAGUUUUACUACCAACCCUUACUUUUAUGUAUUUAACCUUCUUGUGAUUUAAUUACAUGUGUUUUAUUUUAAUUAAGCAUUUUAUGUAGUUUAGGGGCAUUAUAGUCAUUUCACAAUAAAUGAGAGAUCAGACGGCAAAACGGACAUCACUUUUGAACUCAGGACGGUCGAAAACCUUAGGAGGAGUAUAAAAGGAAAAAUGGAACUAUUCAUAUGUACGGUAUUGCCUACAUUACUGUUCACGACACUGUUCACAUAGACGGAUCGAUGACGUGGCAUUGGCCGAUGAUGUGGCAUUGACUGAUGAGGUGUCACGAUCCUGUUGGGCUAAAAUUCUUAUGUACUGUUGAUGGUGACGUGGCAGCAUAUCAGUGGACGAAAAAUCUCGCGUACGGUACAUGCAUCACACAGGAUUAUUUUCAACCAAACCGCAUCACUGUUCACUCGGGUCAAACCGUGUUACUGUUCAUCCGCGUGGUCAAACCGUGGACUCUGCUGUACGGCCAAGGCGGAUGUACGGUACAGCAGGUGGCGCAAUCCUGAGCGUCCAAACUGUUUUUAAUCCUAUGGCCAUGAUUUACUCCAUGUAUCUAUAAAAAAAGGGCCUCUCACCCUUAAUUUGAUAUCUCUGAAUCCAUUUUUGGGAUCCAUUUUCUGUAAUUCCCUUUUCAUCUUGUAUUUUCUUCGUAUUUUAAUAAAUUCUCAUUUUGCCUCUAGUUCAAUUAUGAGUGGCUAAUUUUCUUUCAAGCUUGGGUUGAAGGUGAAGUCUCAACAUGUGUCAUGGGCUUAAUUUGGUAAAUUUAUUUUCUCUUCCCCUCUAAUUUUUGUGGAUGUUUUGACUUCUCGUCGACAAAUAAUACUAAUCUUGUCUAGUACCGCCUUGGUUUCACCGGCCCUCUAGUACAAGGUUAUUAUUAUUUGGCACGAUAAGCCCUUAGCACCAUAUUGAUUAGAGUGUGGUUCAUGAGGUGUGGAUUCCCCCCUCAUGAUUUAAUUGGCAUUAAUACGGAUUAUUUAACCCAUGAUGCAUGUUGAUACGGAUCUAGAUACCCAAGUAUGUCAUUUCAAUAGAUUUCGCUUCAAUUUAUUCUCGCCAUUGCAAUUCCAAUUUUAGGAUAAUUUAAAUCACUUCUACCACAAUUUCAACCACCCAUUUACAAAAUUAAUUCUACAUAUAAUUAAAAUCCACCUCCUCGUGGGAUCGACACUCGUCACCAUUGAUCUAUAGUACAAUAGAUUCGUGCACUUGCGAGUACAUUAAAAUUUCCACAACAACCACUACCUAUCAAUCAUUAUAAAAUUAAUGUUGAUGCUGCUGUUCAGAAUAAUAAGCAGAAAAGGGGAUUGGGGGUUGUGAUAAGGAACUCAUCAGGGUAGGUGAUAGCUGCAGCAAUCAAAAAUAUAAUUUUUUCAUAGGAAUGCGGUCUUUCUAGAAGCUCAAGCUAUAGAGUGGGUUUUGGAGGCCACGAAGGAGGUAAACCUCGCUAACUUGAUAAUGGAAACAAACUGUAGUGAGGUGGCUGACCUGGUCAACAACAAAAUCAGCAACAAAACAGAGAUAUGGUGGACAAUUUCGAAGAUCCAAAAAAGCAGUAGAGAUUUGCAAUCUCUUGUAGUCCAAUAUGUGCCAAGGCAAUGCAAUGCCAUUGCCCACUCUCUUGCCAAGAGAACUUUGAAAAGCUCGGAUACUGUCAUUUGGUCAGGUGAAUACCCAACAAAUGUUUUGUUAUUGUUCUCUAAUUCUAGUUGAAUGGAAAGUUUCAUUUUCUUAAAAAAAAAAAACAUAAAUCAAUACAUGAUCAUGCUUUCAUAAUUAUAUCAAUAUAACGCACACAAAAUCAUUCAAUCAAUCACAUAAAAUCACAAAUAAAACUAGAAUUUUAAAGGAUUAUAAAUUCUUACCUACUUCAAAACAAAAACUAAAACUCAAGAACUUGUUUUAUGGAAAUAUACUUCAAAACUAAAAGCUAAAUCUUAUCCUAUUCUUAAAAAAAAAACGCGAGUUCACUCUUAUGUAUGCUGCUGUAUAUAUAUAUAUAUAUAUAUAGCUUUUAGGGUUUUGAGAAACAAAGCAGCGUACGAGGAAUUUUUAUAAAGCCAAGGUUUUUAGCACUCUUACCUAUUAAGAAAUAUAUUUCCUCUUUUCAUGAGGUAAUUAAUAAAUGGGUAAAUCAAAUAAAUACAAAUAAAUAAAGAAAAAUUAAAAAACCCUUAGAAUUAUUUGCCUAAAAUACUAUUUUCUCUAAAAUAGAUAUAUAAUAAUAAUAAUAAUACAACAAAAAAAUAACGGGUGUUACAUUUGCUACUAAUUUUAUAGCAAUUGGGCUUGCACUCAUUGGGUUUAUCAGUGCUUUUUGGGUCCUUGGUGUAUUCCACCUAGUUUAUCUAGUAUUAUUCAUCUGGAUGCACAGGAAGUCCCUCAUGUUAGACAAUAGUGUUGCAUAUCUUUUUUGGUUUAUUGCCGUGCUUACUUGCCUUUAUUAUGUAUUUUUCUUUGUGACUAAAGAUUUUGAUUCUUAUCCCCCUCCUUAUGUUUUCCUCCAUUCUUUGAUCUAUACUAUAGGUAGAGGUCCGGCCUAACCCCCAAUCAUGUUGGUGGUUUUAAAGAAAAAAAAUUCAUUUCAACUUUUUCUGGCUCUAGGUUGAGAUUUGCUGAAAGCUUGAGUUCCCAAUCGUGAAGCCUCUUGAAUCCUUGGCGAGGGUCGGCCUAACGGAUCUGAGCCAGAUUGGCCUCGGACCUUUUUUGUUGUCUCUAGUACUUUUCCUAUAUUGUGUUGCCCCAACAAUAACAAUUAUUGAAUGAUUCUCUUCUCUUAAUAAUAAUUAAUGGCUUUCAACUUCCUCAUUUCAAAUUAGGGUUGGCACAUACAAAACAAGUGCUUGUGUCCUAUAUUUAAACUUCGUUUGUUAUAGUUUUUCAAAUACAACUUCUAUAAAUAGAAUUUUUAUUAGCAGAGUUUUUAUAAAUAAAGUUUUAGUAAAAAGAAAUUAUUUAUUUGGUUGUCCAUACGAGUUUUUAUUAAAAAUUAUAAAAUUACUUAAAUAGUUAAGGCUUGUUAAAGUAAUGUUAUGAAAUGAAUGAAAUAAGAUUAUUAAACUAGUGAAUGAUAUUUUAGAAAUUAGAACAUUUAAAAAAAAAAUUCAAUUUGUACUCUUAAAAGUUAGAAGUAAAAUACCGUGUACAAUAACAAAACAAUAAAAAAUAAUAAUAUAAAGAGCUUAUUUAAUUAAAUAAAUAUUUAUAAUUAUUUGAUAAAUUAUACCAAAUAGGCACUUAGCCACAAGAUCAGCUUUAGUAUACAAUCGCAAGGAAUAAUUUUAAAGUGCUUCCACGUGUCUCUCUCCUUUUACACACGUUUUGCAAACAAAUGAUCAGAGCUUUAGAAGGUAACAUCGAUAUGUUAGAUUAUUUUUUAAUUAAUCUAAUAUUUGGGGCCACACAUGAAACAAAUAAAAUGUGUGCGCUAUUAUUUAGUUAGCCAAUAAUUAAGUGAUCUAAUUAAUAUAAUUAAAUGGCUAAGGGUAUAAUUGUUGUGGGUUAAAUGUAUAGAUACCUGAGUUUUAAUUAUCACUUUAAUGAGGGGUUGAAGUGAUAAUAAACACAUGAGAACUGCUAAACGAUUUUUAUUAAAACCGUCAGUUACGAUUAUUUUAAAAAGGAGGUUGUGGUCCCCAAUCUCUCUUAACUCUUAGUAAUUCUAAAAAAUCUCUCAACAAGAAUUCUUAAUCAAAGAGAAGAGAUUAGAUUGGAAGACCAUCACCAAAAUCAAGAAUUUUUUGUAUAACAACAAUGGAUUCAGGUACGCUUAUGAAAUUAUAGUACUCAAUAAUUUUAAUCUGGAUUUUUAUGAAGAUUUAGGGAAUAACAAGUGGCAUCAGAGCCUCAUCCAUGAUUAAAUUAUUGAGUUGCAAUUUUUGAUUAAUGGUUAUAUUCGAAUGAAAUUGUUUAUCCUUGACUUAGUUAUUGGGAAAAGUUGAAAUUGGUUUUGUUGGCCUCAUGGCGAAACGAAACUACUGGUGUUGCACACGUGAAAUCAUGUGCAAAGUUCGAGAUUAAAUUAAACCACUUAAUUGUCUUAAUUGCAUAUUUGUUUUUAUUCUUGUGAACAUUUAGAUUUCCAAGUUCGGUGGUCAAGUAUGCUACAAUUUCGGUUUAAUAGUGUUUUUAAAUUAAACCACUUCAAUUAAGUUUUAUUGGCCGUGAUUUAAAUGAAAUAGAUUUGAUUGAGUUGGCAAGUUUCAGUUUUGAUGUACUAAUAAUCAUAAAUUGCUUUGAGUUUAAUUGGCCACGGUUUCGGUUUUAAUUUUAAUGAUAAUAUGUAAUUCAAAUCAAUUAAAUUAAAUUUGAAGUGGCUUGUUUCAGUUUUGAUAUAAUAAUAAUAUCAGUUUACUUUGAAUUUGAAUUGGCCAUGUUCUAAUUUCGGCUUCGGCUUAAUUAUAAUUUUAAAUUAAAUCAAAUCAAUAAAGAUGCAGUGGCCAUGUAUGUCACGGUUUCGGGUUUAAUAAUGAUUUCAAAUUCAAUCACAUGAAUUGAGUUUUUUAAUUCUUCCAGUGGCCAUGUUUUAAGUGCAUUAUAAUUGGUUUCAAACUGGGCAAAUAUAUAAUAUGCUAAUGAAAUCAAAUCAAUUUAAUUUGUAUAUUUCCGGUUUUAUAAUUUUUAAAUUAAAAUGCUUCGUAACAUUUAUGUUAAUUAUUGGUCUAACAUUAAAAAUAUACUAAUUAAAGCGGGAAGUCACCAAAGUGAUGUCUCUUGUGUAGAUUAGUUUAUUUGGGAUGUUAGAUGUUUGUGUUUGUAUAAUUCCUGCAGAUGUUAAUCGACUCAAAGGAAGGUUAAUAUUUGGCCUAAUUGCACACACACUUGUGAUGGUAAAUUUGUGAUGAUUAUUAGGAUAAUUUAAUGUGAGUAAUGUACUAAUCCAAAGAUAGAUUCAUUACUUGACAUAACUUAUUGUCAAAAUUUGAUCAUUGCAACAAGAGUACCAUUUACAGUUAGUAUUAUAAUCCAAAGACUUGUUACUAAUGUUGUGCUAGGUAUCUUGAAUUGUUAUAAUUUGCUUUUAAAUUUUUAAAGAUUGUUAAUUGAGAUGUUUAAUGUGACCAUUAUUUAUUUAUUUAUAUUUUAUUUAUUUUUGUUCUCUAUUCAGCUUUUUUGUCUGCUACUUCUAUAUUUGCAAAUAUGAAUAGUGUCUCGGUUAUGAAUUAGACUAAUUUUAAGGACUGAAAAGAGAAUAUGAUGAUUCUCUUAGGCUGCAUGGAUCUAGAUUUAUCAUUCAGAUACCCUAAGCCGGACGAACUCACUGAUGAUAGUACAUCUUAGGAUGUGUUGUACUAUGAGAAGUGGGAUCGAUCUAAUAGGAUGAGUCUUAUGAUCAUGAAGCGCAGUGUUCCAUAAGUAUUUAGGAGUGCUAUAAGCAAUGAGGUUACAAGUGCUAGUGAGUUUCUUGCCGAAAUUCAAAAUCGUUUUACAAAAAACGAUUAGGCUGAAAUAAGUACACAUUUAGCGAGCUUGAUUUCAAUGAAGUAUAAAGGCAAGGGAAACAUUCGGGAGUACAUCAUGGAGAUGUCUCAUCUUGCUUCUAAGCUUAAGGCAUUAGGGCUCAACCUAUCUGAUGAUUUGGUUGUGCAUUUGGUCCUUAUCUCUCUCCCAGCACAAUUUAAUCAGUUCAAAGUCAGUUACAACUGUCAGAAAGAGAAGUGGAAUUUCAAUGAACUGAUUUCCUUUUGUGUGCAAGAAGAAGAGAGAUUGAAGCAAGAGAAAACCGAAUAUGCACAUGUGGUAAGCACUUCUAAAGAUAAGGGCAAAAGAAAGAAAAAGGGUAAAGCUGCUACUUCUAAGGGUCCAGAUCCAAAGAAACCAAAAGCCGGGCAUGGCUGUUUCUUCUGCGGCAUGCCUGGACAUGUGAAGAAGAAAUGUCAAAAAUAUCACGCAUGGCGCGUAAAGAAAGGUACAUUUCUGCGUAAAGAAAGGUACAUUUCUUACUUUGGUUUGUUCUGAAACUAAUUUAGCUUCAGUACCAAGAAACACAUGGUGAAUAGAUUCAGGUGCUACUACUCACAUUUGUGUUUCACUGCAGGGUUGCCUGAGCUACCGGCCGCCAAGUGAUGCUAAAAAAUGCAUUUAUGUAGGAGAUGGCAAGACGAUGGAAGUUUAAACAAUUGGACAUUUUAGAUUACUUAUGAAAACUGGUUGUUAUUUGGAUUUGUUAGAUACUUUUGUUGUUCAGUCUUUUAGACGGAAUUUGAUUUCAGUUUCGGUUUUGGACAAAUCUGAUUAUUCUUGUUCAUUUGUAAACAUACAAUUUAGUUUAUCUAUCAAUUCUAAUGUUAUUAGAACCAGUUUGCUUAAUGCUAAUGGCAAUCUAUAUUUGCUAGAAACUGUUUUAAGUUAUAAUGAAAACAUGCAUUUUAGUUCCAGAGGUACAAAGCGUAAAUUAGAGAAAGAAAAUUCGGCCUCAUUAUGGCACAAACACUUAGGUCAAAUCUCUAAAGCUAGAAUUGAGCGAUUAGUAUCUGAUGGGAUUUUAGGAUCUUUUGAUUUUAUAGACCUUGAUGUUUGUAUUGAGUGUAUCAAGGGAAAACAAACCAAAAGUAAGAAAUUUGGUGCCUACAGAACUUCAGACAUCUUAGAAUUAAUUCAUAUAGACAUCUGUGGACCAUUCCCCACGGCUACUUAGAAUGGUCAACAAUAUUUCAUUAUCUUCAUAGACGACUAUUCGAGAUAUGGCUAUAUAUUCCUGAUUCAUGAAAAAUCACAGUAUUUGGAUGUGUUCAAAACGUUUAAAGCCGAAGUUGAGUUACAACUCAACAAAAGGAUUAAAGGUGUCAGGUCUGAUCGUGGUGGUGAAUACUACGGUAGAUAUGAUAGUUCAGUUGAACAACGUCCAGGACCGUUUGCUAAAUACCUAGAAAAUGUGGAAUUGUCCCUCAAUAUACCAUGCUAGGAUCGCCUAGCAUGAAUGGUGUAUCUGAGAGACGAAAAUGAACUCUUAAGGAUAUGGUGAGGAGUAUGAUUGGUCAUUCUACUUUACCAGAAUGACUCUGGGGCGAAGCACUCAAAACAACAACUUAUAUCUUAAAUCGAGUGCCAACUAAAGCGACUGCUAAAACGCCAUAUGAGCUUUGGACAGGUCGAAAGCCUAGUUUAAAGCAUUUACAUAUUUGGGGAUGUCCAGUUGAAGCGAGGCCUUAUAGGCCUCAUGAAAAGAAAUUGGACUCCAAAACUGUAAGCAAUUACUUUGUUGGCUAUGCGGAGCGAUCAAGGGGGUUUAAGUUUUAUGAUUCUAGUGCACAAUUAAUUUUUUAGACGGGAACUGCAGUAUUUUUUGAGGAUGUUGAGUUUGAGGAGAGAAAUCCAGUGAGGACAAUUGUCUUUGAAGAGGAAGAGAUAUCCAUUGUUGCUUUUGACAAUGUAGAUGUUUCAAUACUUGUCAUUGAGAAAGAAGUAAAUUUGGAUCCUCAAUCAUCAGACAAUAUUGUUCAACCCCUCAUUCAAAAUGAGAUAAUUGUUCAUGAGAAUCAAACUCAACAACCUCAAGAGCCUGUGCAAUUAAGACGAUUCACGAGAGAAAUGAGAAAUGCAAUUCCGGAUGAUUACAUAGUAUUUCUUCAAGAACAUGAGGAUAAAACUAGAGUGAUGGAAGACGAUCCAACCAAUUUCUAUCAAGCCAUGCAAGGUUCCAACUCUCACAAAUGGAUUGAAGCCAUGAAUGAAGAGUACAAGUCGAUACAAGACAAUAAAGUUUGGGAACUUGUCGCAUUACCUUCUGGUGUGAAGCCCAUUGGUUGUAAAUGGAUAUUUAAAACCAAAAGGGAUUCAAAUGGUAAUGUGGAGAGAUAUAAAGCACGUCUUGUAGCUAAAGGCUUUACUCAAAAUGAAGGAAUUGACUAUAAAGAGACUUUCUCUCCGGUUUCUACGAAAGACUCUUUUAGGACAAUUAUGGCACUUGUUGCACAUUUUGAUCUUGAGUUAUAUCAUAUGGAUGUUAAGACAACAUUCCUCAAUGGUGACAUUGAUGAAAUAAUUUAUAUGGUACAACCAGAAAACUUUGUGUCAGGAGAUCCAAAGAAUAUGGUUUGUAAGCUAACCAAAUCCAUAUAUAGGCUCAAACAAGCUUCUCGUCAGUGGUACUUUAAGUUUCAUCAAAUAAUUAUCUCAUAUGGUUUUGAGGCAAAUGUUAUUAAUGAAUGUGUAUAUCACAAGUUCAGUGGGAGUAAACAUAUAUUCAUGGUUUUAUAUGUUGAUGACAUAUUGCUUGCCACAAAUGAUAUAGGCAUACUGCACGACACCAAGAAUUUUCUAUCAAAACAUUUUGAGAUGAAAUAUCUUGAUGAUGCCUCAUUUGUUUUAGGAAUCAAGAUACAUCGGGAUCGUUCUCGAGGUAUUCUGGGAUUAUCACAAAGGAACUCUAUCGAUAAAGUUUUGAAGAGGUUUGGCAUGCAAAACAGUAAACCAUGUGACACUCCUGUCGCCAAAGGAGAUAAAUUCAACCUUAGUCAAUGCCCUAAGACCAAUCUUGAAAUCAAGGAAAUGCAAAAGAUUCCUUAUUCUUCAGCUAUAGGGAGUCUUAUGUAUGCUCAAAUAUGUACGCGUCCAGAUAUUACGUUCAUAGUUGACAUGUUAGGCAGAUAUUUGAGCAAUCCUUGCAUGGAUCAUUAGAAAGCAACCAAGCAAGUUAUGAGGUACUUACAGAGGACAAAAGAGUACAUGCUCACAUACACGAGAUCAGAUCAAUUAGAGAUCAUUGGAUAUUCUGACUCUGAUUUUGCUAUAUGCAAAGAUAGUAGAAGAUCCACAUCAGGCUAUAUUUACCUAUUGGCUGGUGGAGUAAUUUCUUGGAGAUCUGCCAAGCAGACACUCGUAGCUUCAUCGACUAUGGCAGCAGAGUUUGUAGCAUGUUAUGAGGCAUCUAAUCAAGAAAUAUGGCUGCGUAAUUUUGUCACUGGGCUGCGCAUUCUAGAGGGUGUAGAAAGACCACUCAAGAUAUGUUGUGAUAAUAAGUCAGCAUUUUUAUAUUCUAACAACAACAGGAGCUCUACAAAGUCAAAACAUAUUGAAAUCAAGUUCCUUGUUGUGAAGGAAAGAGUGCAGAGUGGAAAAAUAUCUAUAGAGCACAUUGGGACAAACUCCACGAUAGCGGAUCCGCUCACUAAAGGAUUGCCACCUAAAGUCUUUCAUGAUUGUGAUUUUUCUUGAGAAUAUUCAGAUUUAGUGGGAGUUUGUAUUAUUUACUAUGUGUGACUUUUGGAUUUUAAUUAUAUAAUUCGGAUUAUUUUCUGCAGAAAUAAAGUAUUUUAGUUCCUUACACUCUGUUAGGAUAAUUUAAGUUUCGAUCUCAAUAAAGUAAAGUAGGACCAGUUGGGAAUAGACAUGUUUAGAUCACAUUCCAUGUAAUUUCCAUGCUAUAUAUCCACAAUCGAUCUAUGUCAUUUAACUGUAUUGAUAUAUGUGACUAUGGAUGGGUUGAGUUACGACUAAUGUAACAAAGGCCGCUAUGAUCCUAUAUUGAUAUGGUUAAUGGAGGAGAUUGCCCAGAUAUACUCUAAGGACAUAAUACCAAUUUUAUGAGCUCAUUAAGUUAAACACAUUUUGUUUUCAUUUGUGGCCCAGUGGAAGAUUGUUAGAUUAUUUUUUAAUUAAUCUAAUAUUUAGGGCCACACAUGAAACAAAUAAAAUGUGUGUGCUAUUAUUUAGUUAGCCAAUAAUUCAAUGAUCUAAUUAAUAUAAUUAAACGGCUAAGGGUAUAAUUGUUGUGGGUUAAAUGCAUAGGUACCAGAGUUUUAAUUGUCACUUUAAUGAGGGGCUGAAGUGAUAAUAAAUACAUGAGAACUGUUAACGGUUUUUAUUAAAACUGUCAGUUAUGUUAUUUUAAAAAGGAGGUUAUGGUCCCCAAUCUCUCUUAAUUCUUAAUAAUUCUAAAAAAUCUCUCAACAAAAAUUCUUAAUCAAAGAGAAGAGAUUAGAUUGGAAGACCAUCACCAAAAUCAAGAAAUCUUUAUACAACAACGAUGGAUUCAGGUACGCUUCUGAAAUUAUAGUACUCAAUAAUUUUAAUAACACCAUCUUAAUUUCCUUGAAACUUUUUUUUUAUACGUUUAGUUGUUAUUUAUUUAUUUAUUCAAUGCCAGGCUGCCAGCGAACUUUAAUUUUCUCUAAUCACCCUCAAAAUGCAUUGUUUUAAAUUUCAAUCACAUUCUAUAUUCAGAACGUGUUUCAUCUCCACGUACAAUGCCAGGACAAAUCUGACAUUUCGAUAGGCAAACAAAUGAUUUUAUCAUAAUCUAAUCGUUACAUGAAAAAAAGUGAACUGUGAACCACUCAUUGUAAUAUUUUAAGAAUACUUCAAACGACUUCUGAGUCAAGUGGCCGAGUGGAUAUCAUUAUCACAAGAAUUAUGUACCUUGGCUGGGAUAAAUAUUAAUUUGGUCGAUUUGAAAGUGGUAAUAAUUUGAGUUAAACACAUAAUGUCUUGAGUCAACACGUCCGUUUAUUAUUCGUUUUAAAUACCAAUCCAAUUCCUUUAUUAAUCAUAUCAUCAUCAUCAUCAUCAUCGUGGUCAUCGUUUUAUAUAUAUAUAUAUAUAUAUACACACACCCCUUUUACUUCCAGAAAUGAUAACACGUAUCUCUUUUUUUUUAUUACAUCCUUUAAUUAUAAUAAAAUAUUUUAUAAUAAAUAUAAAUAAAAGACUAAGAUAAAAAUAAUAAAUAAAAUAGCAUAUAAGUAUAAAUAAACCAUUAUAAACAUAAUUAAUAAAAAUAACAUAUAUAUGUCAUGUAAAUUAUUUUUAAUAUUAAGCUAUUACUAGUAUAUCCUAACCGAUUUUGUUAAUAUUAUAGUUCAUUAAUUCAGAACUUAAAAAAUCUAACAAAAUAUAUAGAUUGAGACAUCAUCUGCAUCACGAAAUAAAUCAACCAAAAUAUAAUUCAGAGCUGAUUAAUUGAAUAAUUAUUCACGUAAUAAAUAUAUUCAGAAGUUGGAAAUUCUAAAUUUAAACUCAAUUAGGGAUUAUGAAACGAGUGUCCAGAACUCAACCCUUUAUAAUCAUGUCAUUUUUAUUUGAGUAAUAUAACAAAGUUACAUUAGUUUGCGCAAAAUAAAUUUUUAUUAAGAACUUGUAGCUCGAUCAUUACUCUUCUUAUUUUCAAUAAAACCUUGUAUUUUGAGUAGGGUAAUUGGACUAUGUAAAAAUUGUUGUUGUUUUUUUCUUAGGAAUUAGUAUUUAAACUGCAUAUAAUUAUUAAAUAUUAUAUAUACUCAUUAAAUUUUAACAGUAAUAAUAAUCUUACAGUUGAGAUACAAAAUUUUUAUCCCAACUGAUUUGGCAAAUGAUGUAACAAUAUCUAUCUCAGAAUCAUGAGAUAUAGAGUACUAAAAAAUGCAUUGUCUAAAUAAAUAUCCCCAAACGUCAAAAGAUAUGUUAAUACACUAUGAAAUUAUAAGUCAAAUUUUUUUAAUGGCCAAACUUAAUAGACACAGUCUAAUACGUAAUAUGGUAAGAAAAUUGAUUUUAUUUUUUUAAUAUUUGGCAAUAGUACAGUACUACUUGAUAACAUGAUAAAUGCCACCAAUCAUUCACAAAUUAAUGCACUGGUGUGUAUUAGAAUACUGCCGCCUUAACUAAUUCUAGGAGACUCUUUUUUAUAAGAAAGUAAACCUUUCAUUUAAUCACAACGCAUCAAAUGCAUUUUGAGCCUUUGUUGGUACUGUUUCUAACUAGAUAGUAUUUGUAUUUCUUCCUAAAGCAAAUUUGGCUAAGAAAUAGGCAUAAGCAUCAAAGUGUCUAGGAGCAUAUUGGACUGUAACUUUUUGGAAAUCUCUUUGUUUUCAUAUCUUUGAAAUUGUCAAACAAAUUUAUGUUCUACUGUCCUUUGUAUUGGUAACUAGCUCAACCACUUCUAAGCAAUCUGUCUCUAUGCUCAGUAAAGUUAAAGACUGCUUUUGCCACCUAAAGUCCCCACUGUAUAGCUUCAGCUUCUGCAAAGCUAAUGUUUCCCAUUAGAUGAGCCUGAUUGAUACCAACAACUAUCACCUUGCCAUUUGAGUCUCUUAUCACAACUCUCAACCUUAUCAUUUGAUCGUUGCUGCUAAUGAUUGCAUCAACAUUGAUUUUGAAUACAUUUUCAAGGGUAGGAGUCCACUUUGCAGCUUCUCAUUUAUGUGUUAUCAAUGUGUGAUGUCUUAUUUUCCUUACUCUUUGAUAGGCUUCGAAAAUUGAUUUUGCCUUAGUUGCUGAGAUACUUGGGUCUAUUAUCUUUCCUUAAAAAACGAAUUUGUUUCUUGAAUACCACACAACCUACCAAUAUGCUACCAUGAGUUCAAAAUCAGCUUAAUUUCCUUAAAUUUUUUCCCAUUUCUUGAAUAAUGCUGAGAAUGUCCUGAGAUUGAACAUUAAAGAUUUAAACUAUGAAAGGAGCUUGAAUCCAGAUCUUUUUUGCUCUCCUUUACAAUCCAAAAGAGCAUGACUUAUGGUUUCCACACUCCUUCUACAUCUUUGACAUGUUGGCUCUUGCAAAAUCUUUCUUUUCCAUAGAUUUUCAUCAGAUGGUAGCAGAGUUUUUGUUACCCUCCACAUGAAAAUCUUGAUCUUUCCAGGUAGGUCAAGAGACCAUAAUGCAUUCCAUUGUUUUGAGUUGUUUUCUGAGCUAUUGGUAGCAUUUGGAAGCUUGAUUUUAAGUGCUAGUUGGUACCCACUUUUCACUAAGUGUUCUCUCCUUUUAUCAAAAUGCCACAACACUUCAUCUUCUGAUUGUUUGUUUGGUGAUGGAAGCUUGAGAAUUACUUCUGUAUCUUCAUGCAUGAAUGGUUUAGCUUGUCCUCAUCCCAUUGAUUUUCAAAAUUGAUUAGAUCUGCCACAAAAGUAUCUACAGGUAAAGUUGGUGGAGAUAUUGGUUUGAAUGUGUCUGGCCUUGGUAAACAGUUAUCCUUAUACACUAAAAUCUUUUUUCCAUUUCCUAUAAGCCAUCUAAUUCUUUUCUUGAUCCCUUAUCUAUCCUAUAGAAUGCUUCUCCAUAUAAAGGAUGGAUUGGAGCUUGCAUUUGCACUCAAGAAAUUAGAGUUUCUAUAGUAUCUUGCCCGCAACACUUUAGAUACUAGAGAGUUGGGAAACUGAAGAAACUUCAUCCUUGCUUGGGCACCAAAGCUUGAUUGAAGCUAGUAAAAUCUCUAAACCGCAAUCCUCCUCUGCUUUUUGCAUGGCUGAGCUUGUCCCAUCUUAUUCAGUGAAUGUCAUUGCCAUGUUUAUUUUGAUUCCUACCAAAACUUCGCUAUAACCCUUUAGAUGUCAUCACAUAAACCCCUUGGAAGUUUGAAACACUCAUUGCGUAUACUGGUAUUGCUUGGGCUAAUUUAGGAUUGCAACAGUUGAUGAAAUAAGUUGUUUUUACAGUUUUGGAUAAAAGUUUAUUUAGUCUCUAUAUUAUGAAAUUAGUGCUUGUUUAGUCCUUAUAUUUUUGAAAAUAGCUCAAAACAUCUCAACCAUUAAACUAUUGACAUCCCUACUAUUAUUAUUUUUUUUUCCUUGCUUUUACAAUAUUACCCUCUUACAGUAAUUUUUUUGGGACAUUAAUAUGAGAAAAAUUAAAGUACUAGUUUAGCACCCAAAAAAUUAAAAACAUAUAUAUUAAUUUUUGUGGAAGCUCACAUAUGUCUAAAAAAAUUAAAUUACCAGUUUUUCAAAAAUUAAUAAAAAAUAAUAUAUUAACUUCUCAACAGAGUGUUUCACAAAAAUUAAUUUAUAUUCCUUUUGUUGCUAUUUUAUUUUUUGGGGUUAAGUUGGCAAUAUUUUUUUUUAUUAAUGUCCAAAAAAAGAAACAUAAUUGGAAGAGGAUAAUAUUGUAAAAGCAAUUCAAAAUUAAUAAAAAGUAACGACAUGGAUGUCAAUAAUUUAAUAGUAAGAAUAUUUUGAGGUAUUUUUUAAAAUACAUAGAUUAUACGGGCACUAAUCUCAAAAUAUAAGAAAUAAAAGAAAUUUUGCCCUACAAUUAUGCUAUAUGAAUGAAAUAAAGUGUGAUUGAAAAAGCAACUUGGUAUUUGAUAUAUUCUGUUGUUAAAGUUAUUGUGAGUUUGAAAAGAAAAAUAAGUAUUUUCAAUAAAUUUUAUCACGAAAAUAAUAUUUUAUUAUAUAAUGGUCAAAAAGACAAAAUUUAUUUUAUUUAUAUAUUGAGGUUUAUAAACAAAUAAAACAUGUAUAAUAAUCAUUUUAUUAAAAUAUUAAAGUUAUAGUAUGAAUUUAAAAAAAAUGUGGCGGUUUAUUUUGUAAGUUAUAAAUAACAUUCCCUACGUGCUUUUAGGAAUCGCUGUCAAAAUAAAAAAAUUUGUAGAAUAUUUUUACCAAAACUUAUCAAAUAAGCAGUUUAUGACAUUUCAACCUUAAUCCUAAACGUAACUUAAUUAUUGCUUAUCAUACAAUUAAAAGGUUAUAGUAUUGAUAUCAUUAGAUAAUCUUUUGCAGUAUAUAUACUCUUCUGCAGACCGCCUCCACGUUCUUUCGCCAUCAAAGAAUAACAACACACGAGAGUUUGACUCUUCUAAGCAUUUGGCUAAACGAUGUCGGCAAACACCGAUUUAGACAAUACGACGUCGCCUUUGUUAGAGGCUGGUGGUGAUGAUGAUCACGGAGAAGAAGAAGCAACCAGCAGCAGGAGGCGGUGGUGGAAACGAGUUUUGGACUUGGAAGAGGCCAAGAAUCAAGUGGUGUUUUCGCUACCCAUGAUUCUUGCUAAUGUUUUUUAUUAUGCAAUUCCUUUGGUUUCUGUCAUGUCUGCUGGCCACCUUGGCCAGCUUGAGCUUGCUGGUGCCACACUUGCCAACUCUUGGGCCACCGUCACAGGAUUCGCUUUCAUGGUAACCACACUUUCUCUUUAUUUCUUUUGAAUCUGCCGCUGAUAGCUCAUCAAGUUUCUACAGAUUUCAUAUAAAGUUUUCUGUUCCUGAAUACUACAAAUUAAAUCAUUAGAAAGAUUAUUUUUAUGCCAGAAAUCUAUCUGAUCAGCCGCGUGCAGACAUAUUAUUGUACGCGUGAUUAGCUACAUGUCAUUUAUUUCAUUGACUGGUGUCUCAAAGUCCUGGACAAAUGAAAUCGUGACACGUGGCCUGUCGAGUGCUUAAUUUUUUUCUUUUAAUAAAGUGCUUAUAUUAUUUGUUGUUAAUUACAAUGGAGAUUAUUUUACCCCCCAAAAAAAAAAAAUUGUGAUGGAAUAUGAUUGUUUCGAGCAUUUGAAGUAAUGUGCAGGAGGGAUAUUUAUAAACUAAAUUAAUCGUGCAUAAAAUGAAAAGAGUAAGUUGAUAAUAAUGCUCAGGUCCAGACGUCUAAAAUCCAGACUUGAAAUAGAAUCAGAGUGUAACUACAGCACCAUUGAUUUAGUUCAAAUCCAGAAAUCCAGACCUGAGAAUGACUCAUUGAUCUAAUUUAAAGUUUUAAACUUAAGCAAUCACAAAAAAUACAAUUUGUAUGGCACAUGAUCAUUGACCAAAACCAACACAAGAGUGAUUUUGGGGAGAAAUUCUUGCUGUUGAAAAUCCCUUAGAUGAAGCUUGAACUUCUACUAAGUUUGCCCCGCUGGUUUUAAUGAAGAUUGAAUUUGUGCUGGUUAACAGGGUCUUAAUUUUUUUUUUUUUUCCCCAAGAUGGGACAAAUGACUUGUUUUUCUGAGAACUGACAUAAGUGUAUGACUAGAUUCUGUUUGGACUCAAUUUUCACCGGGCUCUUUUCUUGAACUUGAACAUUUUCAUCUCUGUUCUUGUCCAAAGAUAGGAUUAAGUGGAGCACUUGAAACACUUUGCGGUCAAGGAUUUGGUGCAAAACAUUACAGGAUGUUGGGAAUAUAUCUGCAAGCAUCUUGGAUUACAUCAUUAUUUUUCUCAAUCAUCAUAUCUUUCUUGUGGAUCUACACAGAACCAAUACUUAUUUUACUUCAUCAAGAUCCCAGCAUAUCAAAACAAGCAGCUCUCUACAUGAAGUAUCUUAUUCCCGGUCUAGUUGCAUACGGGGUUAUACAGAACAUCCUAAGGUUUCUUCAGACACAAUCCAUAGUCAUUCCAUUGAUCUUCUUCUCAGCUCUCCCAAUGGCAAUUCAUUUUGGCAUUGCAUAUGCUUUUGUAUAUUUGACAUCCCUUGGUUUUAAGGGAGCUUCACUAGCAGCUUCAGUUUCGUUAUGGAUAUCGAUGCUUAUGCUGGUAACUUAUGUCCUUUGUGCAAAGAAGUUUGAGCAUACGUGGGAAGAAUUUUCUUUUGAAUCAUUCAGUUUCAUCCUCACCAUCUUAAAACUAGCCCUGCCCUCUGCAGCAAUGGUAUGGUAAGUCCUAAGUGUAACCGAAUUUUCAUUCAUCAUAGCAUUUUAAAUCUUGCGACUCAUUUUUGUUUCAUACUUUUUCAGCCUCGAGUACUGGGCUUUUGAGAUUCUAGUGUUCCUAGCAGGAUUGAUGCCUAACUCAGAACUGACUACUUCAUUGAUCGCAAUGUGGUAAGUUUAUUGUUCUUUUUGAUAAUAUUUAUCCUAAAUUGCUUCAGCCUUGACUUGAGUUUCUUUCUUUUCUGAUUGAAUGAUCUCACAGUGUAAAUACCGAAUCUGUUGCCUACAUGAUUACUUAUGGUCUUAGUGCUGCUGCAAGGUCAGUAGUAUCUGUGUAUAACUUCUAGUUCUUCAGUUUAUGCAUUUUGUGUUCAGGAAACUGAAAAAAUUGUACCUCUUCACAGCACAAGGGUGUCAAAUGAAUUGGGAGCAGGGAAUCCCGACCAAGCCAAGAAUGCCAUGGCUGUGACUGUCAAGCUCUCUGUACUGCUUGCACUCGUGGUUGUUUUGGCUCUAGGUUUUGGUCAUAACAUCUGGGCUGGCUUCUUUAGUAACAGCCCUGAAAUCAUAAAGGAGUUUGCCUCUUUAACACCACUUCUUGCUCUCUCAAUAACGCUUGAUUCUGUCCAAGGCGUCUUAUCAGGUUAGUGACAUCCAAUUUUUUCUACGGAAAUGCUAACUUAUGUGCUUAUAUAUAUAGUUGUACAACUCUGAUUCUAGUUCAAAUCCGAAUUUUAUAAAAUUUCGGAUGUCUGAAGCUGAGCACCAUUAUAUGUAGAUGCUGACGCAAGUGAGCUAAUGGCGCAGGGGUGGCAAGAGGAUGUGGUUGGCAGCACUUGGCUGUGUGGGCUAAUUUGGCAACAUUCUAUUUCAUUGGCAUGCCAAUUGCAGCAAUUCUUGGAUUUAAGUUGAGUCUAUAUGUUAAGGUGAGGCAAACAUAUAUUUGAAAAAAAUAAAAAAAUAAUUAAAAAAAAAGAAACUUCAACUUUUCAAUUUAAUCGUUCAUAUGCUAUGCCCUUUCUUUGGAUCAGGGUUUGUGGAUCGGCUUAAUAUGCGGCCUUUUCUGCCAAGCCAGCUCCCUCUUGUUGAUUACAUUGCGCCGUAAGUGGACUAAAGUGGACAUGACAUGAACAGAGGAAAUGAAUCCCCUGUUUUUAGUUUAACCAAAUACAAUAACAAAGGAUUAUGGUGAUUAGAAAUGUUUAAAAAAAUUUCAAAAUGUACCUUUAUGUGAUUUAUACUUUAAUUUUCACCUUGGAGCUGUGGUCUUUUGAGUAUCUUGUGCUCAAUUAGUUAAUCACUUUAGUUAUUAAAAGUGGAGACUCUGUAGCAUUCAUUAUGUUCUCCUAUUGCCCCAUAAUUUCAACAUAUUUGUGUUAUUUUAACCCUGAAAAUUAAAGUACAUAGCUAUUUUCAUGCUUGAAUAUCACAUGCCACUAGAAUUCUUUAAUUUGAGCUUCCAUGAUUUUAAAUUGCUUUUAAUAUAAGUGAGGCAGCUGCGCUUCCAUUAGACUAUGAAUCUGAUAAAGAAAAAUAGUUAACAGGGAGAAGGAAGAAAGAUUUUUUGUGACAUCCACCAGACCAUUGUUGCAUAUGACAGCGGUGCUAGUUCUAAGCUGGUGCUUAGGAAACUGCAUGAUCUUGCAAUUAUAUACUCCCUUUAGUAGUUAUUUGUGAGAGCCACUUAGGAGACGAAGAAGAAUAAGAGAAGUAGAUUGUUGGGGGGUGCAUGUGUUUCUUAAAAGUCUAGAAAAAAAAAUUGAGAAAAAAAGUGGGGGAUUGCCAAUUUCUCCACUACUGUAAUUAAUAUAUACCAUUUAUCCCCUUACUGUUUUUAUAAUAGUGAAUAAUCUCUUUGAUAGCAUAAGUUUAUAAUAUUAUCUUUAUUUUCAAAUACACUUUUAUUUAUAUUUAUUAUAGAUUAAAUAAAUCAUAUAAAUGGAAAUUAAAAUUAAAAAUUAAGUAUUACAAACAAGAAAUAUAUGUUUUGAUAUGAAGAAAAAAAUUAAUAAUAAAGCUUUUUCUUGUUCUUUUUUAUUUUUGUAAACACUUUCUUAUAAUAAAUAUUUUAUAAUAUUUUAAAAUUAAAUGUAAAAAGUAUAAAAAAAUAUUUUAUUAUUAAUUUUUUUUUACAUCAAAACAUAUAUUCCUUAUUUUUAAUACUUAUUUUUUUAUUUUAAUUUCCAUUCAUGUAAUUUAUUUAAUCUAUAAUAAAAUUAAAAAAAUACAUUUGAAAUUUAGGAUAAUAUUGUAAAUUUAUACUGUCAGGGAGAUUAUUGGUUAUUAUAAAAAUAGUAAGAGAUAAAUGAUAUAUAUUAACUACAGUAAAGAAAAAAUUGGCAAUCUCCAAAGCCUUUUAUGGGUCUGUUUGUGGGGGUAUAAAAAGUUAAGAAACAAACAAAGAAGAAAAGAAAGAACGUGGGAGAGAAAAUUAGAGCUGUAGGGUAGAGGGAAUAAUUGAAAAAAAAAAAGUCAAGGGGGGCACAAGAAAAAACAAAGAAGAAAAGAAAGGAAGUGGGAGAGAAAAUUAAAGUUGUGGGGGUAGUGGGAAUAAUUGUAAAAAUAAACUUGAGUGAAUUAAAAAAUAAAUAAAUAAAUAAACUUUAGUAAACGUAAGCGCACCCAAGAGACGAGACUUAUUUUUAGUAGAUAGUGUGUUUAUGAAUGGUCAUGGGUGCGUGGAGUUAGUAAAGAUGAUCAGUGUGCUCAACUUUCAGCACCAAUGAGUGGAUAAAUAUCAAUUUACUCCAAUUGACGCCCAUUAUUUCCCCUUAUCUUUUCAACAAAAAUGGAAUAGAUUAAAGUUUUCAAAUGUUUGAGUGAUAAUUAAAUAUUAUCAUCAUUAUCAUUAUUUAUGUAGCUCUUCCAAUGAUAAGUUAAAACCAGUGGCAUUAAAUGUAGUCGCAUUCUUUCCAGCAUAAAGUUUAUGAAUUGAACAAAAUGCACAACCUUUCCGGUCUCAAUAUCAAUAUGGUUAAAUUGAAAGUGGAACUUCUUUUUCUCUGCUCACAGCUAUGUCGACAUUAGUGAAUUUUCUUCGCAACACAAUCAGAAAGAGGGAGCUGGCUUGGGCUGCGAGGCCGCAGAUUAAGCCAAUCCACAAACCCUGUAACAGAAAAAAGAAACUAGCGUGCUGAGAGUAUCGAGUGAUGAACAAGCUACUGCAACCACAAUCCAUUUUGUCUCACCUUCGCAUGAAGAUUCAACUUAAAUCCAAAAAGUAAUGCAAGCGGCAUGCCAAUGAAAUAGAAUGUUGCCAAAUUAACCCACACAGCCAAAUGUUGCCAACCACAUCCUCUUGCCACUCCUGCAAAAUUACGCUACUUGCGUCACAAAUCAAAGUUAAUUUAUACAUGUGUGCUGUGUGUAGAUAAGUGACUUCAGAAAAAUUUUAUGUGAAAAACCUAACAAGAUGCACUGCAGAGUAUCAAAUGUUAUUGAGAUUACAAGAAAGGGUGUCAUUGAGGCAAAUUCCUGUACUAUUUCUUGGCUGUCAGCGAAGAAGCCAGCCCAAAUAUUAUGACCAAAAGUAAGAGCCAAAUCAAUUAUAAGAGCGAGGAGGACAACAAGCUUGAGAGUCACAGCCAUGGCAUUCUUAGCUCGAUCGAUCAUUCCUGCUCCCAAUUCAUUCGACACCUUGUGCUGUCAGAAAGCAUGAGUUUUUCUGGUUUUGAACACAAAAAUUGUAGAAACCACACAACGUGGACUAGGAGUUACAUAUGCUACACUAACCUUGCAGCAGCACUGAGACCAUAACUGAAGUUAAAGGUAAUUACGUGUGUAUUCACACUGAAGAUCAUGAGACCAAAAAAAAAAAAGAUUGAACUAUCAAAGUCGUCAAAAUGAUCAGUCUAAGGAUAAAUAACAUCAAAAGAAAUUAAUGUACAAGAAAAAAAAACUGAUAAUAACAAAAGGCUGAAGCUUAAUUACCACAUUGCGAUCAAUGAAGUAGACCGUUCUGAGUUUGGCAUCACCCCGGCUAAGAACACAAGGAUAUCAAAAGACCAGCACUCCAAGCUGAAAAAAUACAAAUAAUAUAUGCUAACAAGGUCAUGAUAUUGUAUUGAAUUCAAUUGGGUCACUCCCGCGUUGCUCCAAAUUAUCAAUUUGCAAGAUUUUAACCCUGUAGAUUAAAGUAAUAAUUAUUUGCAAGCAGGAGUAUCAGAUACCACUAACUAUUUUCUCAGGCAACUGUUAUCUUUUUAAGCCUAUAGUCUUCAAUUGAGGACUAACUAAUUUUUUUAAAAGUCCAGAGUUUUAACUUCCCUGUCAUCAAUAAGCAGUUUGCAUAUCACACUCUUUUUUUCCAAACAUUGUAGACCAUCCGUGAUUGUAUUUGUUUCUAACCAAAUGAAGCUGUACCUACGAUCAAGAAAAGUAAUGACACUUACCAAACCAUUGCUGCAGAUGACAGGGCUACUUUCAAGUUGGUGAGAAAGACACUGAAUGAUUCAAAAGAAAGUCCCUCCCACGUACGGUUAGUUUUCUUUGAACAAUGGAUAUAAAUUGCUAGCAAAAGUGUCGAGAUCCACAACGAAAUUGAACAUGCUAGUGGAGCUCCACUGAAACCAAGGGAUGUCCAAUGAACUAAAGAAUAUGCAAUGCCAAAAUGGAUUGCCAAUGGGAGAGCUGAGCAGAAGACCAAUGGCAUGACAAUGGAUUGUGUCUGCAGAAACCUUAGAAAGUUCUGUAUAAACCCGAAUGCAAAUAGACCCGGAAUGAGAUACUUCAUGUAGAGACCUGCUUGUUCUGAAAUAUUCGGAGCUUGAUGAAGUAAAAUAAGUAUAGGUUCUGUGUAGAACCACAGGAAAGAUAGGAUAAUUGAGAAGAAGCAAGAUAUGAUACAAGAUGUUUGCAAGUAUAUUCCCAACACCCUGUAUUGUUUUGCGCCAACUCCUUGACCACAGAGUGUUUCAAGUGCUCCACUUAGUCCUUGCUGUUAGGAGAACGGAGAAUGAAGAAAAUGAAUCAACCACAUAUUGAAAAUUAAAAAUUGAACCACGCACGCGCUGACUUAGCCGUUUCAAAAGAUUGAUUGGAUUUGGAUAGUGCUAACUACUAAGUGGUGCUGAACUUUUUGUAAUCUUCUAUCACACGUGUACAUUAAGGUAUACUCGGGCAAUCGCAGUUAUAAAAUCUCAGCAUAAAGAUCAGCUCUCAGCUCAGCGCAGCACCGAAUACAAAUUCAAAUUAAUUGUAUAUUAUAAUCUAAACUACUUAAAAAAUUGAAGCUUUCUGUAUAAUACGAUGAUGUUAAUAAGAUAUUGAAUGCUUACAGUGAAAUCAAAUCCAGUGACACAGGCCCAAGAGUUGGCAAGAGUUGCACCAGCAAGCUCAAGGUCACCAAGGUGACCAGCAAACAUGACAGAAACCAAAGGGAUCGCAUAAUAGGAAACAUUAGCAACAAUCAUUGGCAGCGAAAAGAGUACUUGAUUCUUGGCCUCUUCCACGUCCAAAACUUCUUUCCAUUUCCGCCACCACCUCCUUUCUUCUUCUCCAAGAUUAUAAUUAUUAAUAUUAUCACCGGUUCCUAACAGUGGCUUAGUGUGAUUAUCUGAACUUCGAUUCCCCAACAUUUUUCUUCUGUUUUUUAAUUUGUUUUCUUCUCUUCUCAGAGAUUUUCUUCUUUCUUCUUUACGUUUAUGGUCUUGUUUAACACGUGGGUCAAUACAUAUAAGAGUGGGGCUGAGUAGUGAGUACGAACACUUUUCGCAGUGGAACGUUUGCGGCACCUAAAGACUAAGGUAUCAGUGCAGCACCCAGGAUAUCGAUGCCAAUAGUUUACAUGUGGGAAAAGGUCAUCUCCCUUAAAAUUUGAGAAAAUAAUCAUCAACAUCCUCAAAUUUUUUGAAACAGACACCAAAAUUUUUUUUGACCAUAUAUCCCAAAAAAUAGAUUCUAAUAUUUUUUAAUAAAUAAAAAUAUAAUAUUAAAAUAAAUAUAAUGAUAUAUACAUUUUAACUGCUGUAUAUUUAUUUCAAAUCUCUACAAUAAAUAAAAGAUUAAAAUAAAUAUAAUAAUUUACAUAUCUAAAUUUAUUAAAAUAUUUUAAUAUUAUUAAUCUACUACAUAGAUUACAUUAUUUAUAUAAUAUUUGUAUUUAUUAAAAAUUUUGAAGCCAUUUUGUUGGGGAUAAUAGAUGAAAAGGGUAUAAUGGUUAAGAUGGGAUAUUAGUUUCCAUUUUUUCAAACUUAAGGAUGUUGUGAUCAUUUUCUAAAACUUUGAGGAUGUACGUGUCGUUUUUCCCUUUACUAUGUUGCCACUGUACGUUACAACAGCUUUUGUUUUUUUUCACUUCAUUGAGACCCUUACACUCUAUUUUUUUAUAAUUUAUUCAUAAAAAUUAUGAAACAUUGGGCUUACUUAUACCAUCAAAACUCAAUUUAUCUCCUUAUACUCUUUUUCAUUUACUAUUUUUUUGUAAGUAUUAAAAGAGUUUCUGCUUACAACCAUGACACAUUAAUAAUCAUAACACACUAAGGGCUUGUUUGGUAUUCCGCACAACAUAGUAUUAAAACACUGUUUUGUAUUAACUUAAUACUAACUCAUGUUUGGCGUUAAAUUCAACUGGCGUGGUAUUGCAUUAACUUGGGAAACUAAUGCGGUCAGAUCCGCAUAAACCAAACCCGAGGGGGGGUUCGGGUUUACGCCGCAUCGUAUUAGAGCAAAUUAAGAAAAUAAAAUUGAGAAAUUUUUACAGCAUGUUCGCGAUGAAAUUCAUAUCACCCAAUCUAGCACCACCAAAUCAACUUGGCAAUCAUCGCUCGACGCCAUCACCGAUACUUCUAUAGUGCCGCGUGACACCAUAGCCAUUGCUCCAUGAAGACGCCUUCACUGUGGAGAAGAUAAAGCCCAGAGAAGAAGAAGAAAGAAGGAGAAAAAGAGGAAAAGAAAAAGGGAAAACAAAUUGAAGAACAAAAAGAAAAUAGAAGAAAAGGAGGAAAAAAAAGAAAAUGAAAUGAAGACGAAGAUAAAGCUGAGAGAAGAAGAAGAAAGGAGAAAAAGAGGAAAAGAAAAAAGGAAAACAAAUUGAAGAAGACAAAGAAAAUAGAAGAAAAGGAGGAAAAAAAGAAAAUGAAAUGAAGACGAAGAAAGAGAAAAAGAGAACAAAAAUGAACAAAGAAGAAAAAGAUAUGGAGAAGACAAAGGGAGGAGAAAGAGGAAGCAGGUAAUGAUACAUUGAAAAGCAUUAUCUAAAGAAUAAAAAAUAAAAAAAGGAGAGAGGAAAUUAAAAUAAAUAAAUAAAUAAAAUAUGUUUUUUACUAAAUAGGUUAUAUAUUUAUGAAUUCUGGAAAAAAUAAAAUUUUCAUCAUUGUAAAUCUUAGAAUUUGUUAGUUUUAGAUAAAGAAUUAUGAUUCUUUUAUUUAAACAAAAAAAUUGUUGUAAAAAUUCUUAAAUUUAACGCUUCUAUAUUUAGUAUUUUUCUAAGUACUAGUAGAUAUUAUUUUCUAAAUAUAUAAUUAAAAUUAAUCACCAAAAGAAAUUAAUACAGUACAGUGCAACACCAAAUAUAGUAUAACUAAAAAUUAAUACAGUACAAUGUAGCACCAAACAUUGUACAAUAUUAUUAUAAUACAGUGCUAAUGCAAUACAACAUAAUACAGUGCUAAUGCAAUACAGCAUAAUACAAUACACCAGCAUUAAAAUAAUACAAUACAACAUAAUAUAAUACGUGUACCAAACGCACCCUAAUAUUAAUAAAAAGAUUAAAAAAUUCUUAAAUUAGUACUAAAAAAAACGUUUUCCUCUCUUAAGGAAUUAUGAUAUCACAUCUUCUAUAACUUCUCAUCAGCAAAAUUUUCAAAGAUAUGACCAUUCAUCUUCUUUAUAAUAUCAUCUCAUAAUAAUUAGUAUUUUCACGAUAAAAGAAAUAACAAAAAAAAAAACAAAUUCCCUUUGAAUCCAUCCUUCUACACUAGCAUUGUCUCUUUAUCAACAACCUUUAUCAACAAUUGAAGUCACCAUUAGACUCAUCACAGAGAGAGAGUGAGAGAGAGAGGAAGAAGAAACAGAAAAAAAUAUAUGAAACAUUUACAAUUUUAAAGUACAUUUACUAAACAGAAAUCGAAAUGAACUAGAAUCAAAAUGAGUUAGAAUCAGAAUGGGUUGGAAUUGAAAUGAAGAAUUGGAAUCAGAAUAAGUUAUUUACUUAAACUGCAUGAAUCGUAAUUAGAAUGAGUUGUAUUGUCAUUGAUGUGUUUACUUUGUUUUAGAAUCAAUAUCGGAAUAAAUUAAAUUGUAACAAAUUUGUUAUAAAAUCCUUAAUAAAUUAUUAUCAUAAUUGUUAUUUUGUAUUUUAAUUAGGGGUGGGCAAAUUACCAAACCCGAAAAAUUUCAGGUUCGGAUCGGAUCGGGUUAUAAAGAAAACCCGAUCGGGUUGCUAGAAAAAAAAAAAAAAAAACUAAAGCUAAAGCACACAGCCACACACACAAAUCAUAAAUUCUCAUUUUCACAACACACAAACACUCACAACCCUCCUCAAUCCCCAAUCUCAUUACACAAUCCCCAAUCUCACUACACAAAACACAUGCGUAGUAACCCCAAAUGGUGUUGGCCCAACGCCAGGUUGCCAAUGGAGGCCGCCACACAAGUCACAACCUCACCCGCGUCUCCAUGCCCGAUUCGUUGCGUGUCUGUCGGUCUGCUGCUACGCGUCUGUCAGUUUGCUGCUGUGCGUCUGUGGGCACCUAUUUGCUGCAAGUGCCACUGAUCUGCAGCAAGUGCCACCGAUCUGCUGCAAGUGCCAUCGAUCUACUACAAGGUGCUACCGAUCUGCAUUUUGCCGCUCCAACCUUCAACCCGAUACCCAACCCGAGUUUAUCCCCUUUGAAACUUUGAGUUUUCACUUUUGAAGCUUUUUUUUAAGCUUUAAAUUGAUGAUAUAUAUGGUUAAUUUAAACAAUUAAUAUUUAGUAUUUAAUUGUUGCAAUUAUGUGUUUUUACAUGUUAGUAACAAAAUCAAGAAAAUUGGCCAACCCGAAACCGAUCCUACCCGAAUUUACAACCCCACCCAAUCCGAUCUGAAUAUAAAUCGAAUCAAAUCGGAUCAGGUUGUAAGUUCGGAUUGUAUUCGGAUUAGUUUUUGUCAAACCCGAAUGACUCAAAAUCCGAUCGGGUUGAUCUGAACCCAACCCGAACCCGAUUUUGCCCACCCCUAAUUUUAAUUACCAUGAUUAUUAUUAUUGUUCAAAAAUUAUUUAUUAUUAAUAAUUAUUGUUAAUUACUAUUAUUAACAAUUUAACUCAAAAUUAUUAUUAAUUAUUGUUAAUAUAUUAAUUAAUUAUAAUAUUUUUUAUUGUUAAUAAUAAUAAUAAUCCAGUAAAAAAUAACAGUAAUAAUCAAAAUCAUCAUAAUCAACGGCAACAACAAAUCGGAACCGAUGGCGGCAUCAUCAUCAAUAGUGUCAACAUCAUUAUCAUCAUCAUGAAGAUGGCUGGUUAGGAGAUAGUGGUGAGAUUGUUCCUGCAAUGGGCCAAAUAAUGGACGGUGAAGAUCACGACGAUAAGCGAACUAGAUCCCGAUCCCGAUCCCGAUCUCAGUGUUGUGCUUCCUCUUAGCUACAACUGGAAAAUCUUCCUCUUGGUUCUGAUGGAGGCUUCAAGGGUUUACAAUGUUGGUUGUGCCUGCUGUUUGUUUUUUUUUCAAAUUUGCUAUAUAUAUAUUUUUAAUUAAAUGGAGGGUAUUUGGGAAUUUAAAAAAUUGUGAGGGAGCGAAUUUGAUACUCUAAGAGUUUCGAUCAAAUAAAACAGAGAGUAAGGAGCUCAACGAAAUUUACAAUUACUAAGUCAGAAAAGACAAAAGCUGUCUAACCUACAAGUGGCAACAUAGGAGACCCCGAAUAAUAUUAAUUAAUGGCAGACUUUUAUUACUUGGCAUCAAACAAGGGGGUCACUUAAUGUUUAAUGGCAUAAAAAAUAAAUAAAUGUCGUUAAAUUAAUUUUUGUAUGGCGCAAAUCAUUUUGCCGUUAAUUGUAAUAUUAUACUGGCAUGGAUGUAUUCGCCGUUGAUUUGUAAAUAUACUAGGACAUUUGAAAUAUGCCGUAAAAAAAAAAAAUUAUAAACCAAUAAAAGAAAAUCAUCACCCUUUCAAUCCUUAGCCACCCCUUUCUUUCUCUUUUAUUUUUCUUAAUUGAUUUCUUCACGAUUAGGAAUUAGGGGCUGCCACUAUCCAGUUUAUAUCCUAAUCAAUCUCCUCGCUCAUCUUCUCUCUUGCUCUGCUCCAUUAAUAUUUACUUGCAGUGAUUUUUUCUUCUUUCAAUUUUAUAAUCGCAUACCUUGUACUGAUUUAAUCAACGUGGUUCACGUAUGUGUUUUGAUUUAUUAUACUUUCUAUUGUUUAAUUUUUUUAAUGGUUUAUUUUAUUUUUAGGUUAUUUGUGUCAUUGAAAUCUACUUAGGGUUUGUUUUGUUGAAAGUAAUAGAUUUAGAAUUUUUUUUUUGGUUUAGAUAUUCAAGAAAGGUAUAAAAUUUGGUUCUAUCAAUUACAUUAGAUGAAAUCAAUGUGGGUAUUACUUCAGUUUGAAUCUUUUGAUCCUUAAUCAAUUUAUUUUGUUUAACCUGUUAGUUAAAAAUUAUUUAAUAUUGUUAAUAUUACAUAAGUUUUCAUAUUAAAAAAAUCUUAAAUUGGUUUCACUUUGUUUUUAUUUUGUAAGAGCUAGCUCUUGAAUUUGAUAGUGGCUACUUGGUAUUUUUAAUCUUUAAUUGCUCUUUUUGGCUACUUGGUGUAUGUUGUCAGUUUAUAUCAAAAUAAUUAACCUUUCUCUUUUUGUAUGUUGUUAAACAACAAGGUGAAUGGUGGUAGAUAUUAAUUGACUUUUGAGUUUUAAAAUUUUUCAAAUUGCAAUAAAGUGAAUGAUAUUUUUGCAGGCAAUAGACAACUCUCCCCAAUGGUGAGUAUCUAAUUUUAACAGUGUGAUUACAAGUUGCUUAAAAUAUCUCCACGCAGUAGAAACUUUUUUUAUUUUAUAUGUUUUUAAUAAUAUACAAACUUGUCUUCUACAAUUGGAUUCAUUAGAUGCUAAGUGAAUAAAGUAAGAAAGUUGGUCUCAUUGUAAGUGUUGCUCCAAAAUGACACUUUGAUUGCCCUGUUCCAUUAAAGUGAGUGGUUGUCAAAUAAAGUGGCCAUCUAGAUGGUAUAAAACGGCCAUCUAGAUGGUCAACAACAACUUUGUUUAAGGAGAAGAAAAUUUGACAUUUGGCAGUGGUAUUUUUUGAAGAAGGAAAGAGAAGAAAAUUUUGACAUUCAAUGGCGGUGAAAAAAAAUAUUAUUUUAAUAGUCAAGUUUGGCUAUAAAAAGGGAGAGCUCCCAUUUCGAUUUUAGCAUUUAAUUUGUGAGAGAAUAACAAGGAGAGAGCUUGAGAGAUUUUAAGAGUUUAAAAUUAUAAAGCUCUUGAGAGUCUAGUGAGUGAGAGAUUGGGUGUAUUGAGAUUUUGGAUAGUGAGCUAAAAUAUUAUAAUACUUGUAAUCCUUAUUUCACUAGUGAAAUAUUUUCCUUCUGUCUUCGCCCGUGAACGUAGGCUAAAAGCCGAACCACGUAAUUUCUGGUGUCCUCUAUUGUGCUUGUUCUUUAUUAUUCUUCUAAUUUUAUUUUAGCUGCGGUCCUGCUUCACCCACCAAUUUACUAACAAUGGUAUCAGAGUUAUUAGUUGUAUUUUUGGAGUCGGGUACUAUUCAAGUAUAUGAUAUUGUUCACGUAUACGGUACUAUUCACAUAUACGGCAAUGUUCACUUAUACGAUACUAUUAAUGUAUAUGGCACUGUUCACAUAUACGAUACUGUUCACGAAAAACGGUAGGAGCGAUCCAAGAAUUUUGCGGUGGAAAGCAGGGAAUAAUGGUGUGAGUAAAGCAACUGUGUGGUUUUGUACAUGUCUAGGAAAGUUCUGUCACAAAGGCGAUAAGAGCUUAAGGAGUCUGGGUUUUAAGUGGGACCAUUGUGACCCCUCCAGUCUUUCCUGGGAACUUUCUUGGUGUGCAUUCUCACACAUACUCACAACUAUUCGAGGUGAUACACUAGUUUGUGUGUGAUAUUUAUCAACAAAUUGCGGCAAAGUAUGAAAUUGUGAAGUUUAACGGAAAUAAUUUUUCAUUGUGGAAAAUGAAAAUGAAAGCUGUAUUGAGGAAAAAUAAUUGCUUAACAGCAAUUGGAGAAAGGCCCAUGGAGAUAACUGAUGACAAGUGGAACGAGAUAGAUGGCAACGCCAUUUCUGAUCUACACUUGGCACUUGCAGGCGGAGUAUUAUCCAGUGUGGCAGAGAAAAAUACAGCGAAGAAAAUUUGGGAUACUCUCACAAAAUUGUAUGAGGCCAAGUCACUGCACAACAAAAUCUUCUUGAAGAGGAAACUCUAUACUCUUCGAAUGACGGAAUCUACAAUGGUGACUGAUCACAUCAACAUAUUGAAGACUCUAUUUUCACAACUCACAACGUUGGGUCAUAAUAUAGAGGAAAAUGAACGUGCAGAGCUUCUACUUCAAAGUCUACCAGAUUCGUAUGAUCAACUCAUCAUCAACCUGACGAACAACAAUCCAAUGGACAGUCUAGUUUUCGAUGAUGUUGCAGCCUCCGUAUUAAAUGAGGAGAGCAGACGUAAAAAUAAAGUCAAAAUCAUGGUAGAUCAAAAUUCAGAAGUAAGAAUAAUGUUAAAUGCUACAACUGUGGUAAGAAAGGGCACAUCAAGAAAGAGUGUUGGAGUAACCAGAAGAGAAAAGAGGGCAAAGAACCUGAGUCAUCAAAUGCUCAGGGUUGUGUAGCAAAUACCUCGGAUGAUGGUGAAAUUCUCUAUAGCGAGGCAACAACUGUUUCAGAAGGCAGAAAACGACUAUCUAAUGUCUUGCUUAUAGACUCAGGAGCUACCUGACAUAUGACCUCUCGGAGAGAAUGGUUCCACACAUAUGAACCUAUCUCAGGAGGAUCUGUAUAUAUGGGAGAUGAUCAUGCUUUGGAGAUCGCUGGUAUUGGUGCUAUCAAAAUAAAAUUGUUUGAUGGUAUAAUUUGCAUAAUUGGGGAGGCACGACAUGUCAAUGGCCUGAAGAAAAAUCUAUUGUCUUUGGGACAAAUAGACAGUCAUGGGUGCAAAACUCAUGUGGAGAAUGAAAUUAUGAAGAUCGUUAAAGGCGCGCUUGUAUUGAUGAAGGCAGAAAAGAUCGGUGCUAAUUUAUUCAUUCUUAAAGGAGAAACACUACAGGAGGCUGAUGCGUGUGUCGCGUCAAAUUGAGAAGAGUCAACGAUGAUGUGGCAUCUCAAACUUGGUCACAUGUCUGAACAAGGUUUGAAGAUUCUCUCUAAGCGAAAAUUGCUUCCGAGGCUCAAAUCGGUAAGUUUACCAUUUUGCGAGCAUUGUGUUACAAGUAAGCAGCAUAAAUUAAAAUUCAGUAGAUCUAUUGCUAGAAGUAAAUGUAUUCUAAACUUGAUUCAUUCUGAUGUUUGGGAAUCACCAUAUAUAUCUAUGAGAGGUGCAAAGUACAUGGUGACUUUCAUUGAUGAUUAUUCCAGAAGAUGUUGGGUAUAUCCAAUUAAGAAAAAGUCAGAUGUAUUUCCAGUGUUUAAAGAAUAAAAAGAUCAAGUGCUUGAGGACGGAUAAUGGUGGAGAGUAUACAGACGGUGAGUUUCUUCCUUUCUGUAAGCAAGAAGGUAUUCAGAGGUAGUUCACAGUGGCAUACACUCCUCAACAAAAUGGAAUAACAGAGCGAAUGAACAGAACUCUUACAGAAAGAAUAAGAGCUAUGUUGAAGACUGUUGGUCUACCCAAUUCAUUCUGGGUAGAAGCAGCCAAAACUGCAUGUUAUAUAGUAAAUCGAUCGCCAUCUACAGCUAUUGGGCUAAAGACAGCGAUGGAGAUGUGGACUGGAAAGCCAGCUGAUUAUUCCUACCUACAUGUAUUUGGAUGUCUUGUGUACGUGAUGUACAAUGCCCAAGAAAGAACAAAGUUGGAUGCAAAAUUUAGAAGAUGUAUCUUCUUGGGGUAUGCUGAUGGAGUAAAGGGGUAUCGUCUGUGGGACCCCAUUGCCCACAAGAUCGUCAUCAGCAGAGAUGUUAUCUUUGUAGAAGAUCAACUGCAAAGGAGAGAUGAGGAUGAUGGCACUGCAAAAGAAAAGUCAGAGACUGUGCCAGUAUAUGUGGAAAAUAAUCUAGAAGAUUCAGAUUCUUUGAAAACAGCACCAGAGCACGAAGAAUAAGAACCAGUCGAGUCUGAGGCUCCAGAAGUUCGUCGGUCAACUCGUGAGAGACGACCGCCGGCGUGGCACUCGGAGUGUGUCAUAAAGAUCAAUGUUACGUACUGUCUUCUAACAGAGGAUGGAGAGCCAUCAACUUUCCAUGAAGCUUUAGAAAGCUCAGAUGUUGCUUUGUGGAUGACAGCAAUGCAGGAAGAAAUUGAAUCUUUACACAAGAAGAAGACAUGAGAACUUGUACCACUACCACGUGGAAGAAAAACCAUUGGAAACAAAUGGGUCUACAAGAUCAAACGUGAUGGCAAUGACCAAGUGGAGCGGUAUCGUACGAGAUUGGUGGUGAAAGGAUAGGCUAAGAAAGAAAGUAUUGACUUCAACGAGAUAUUUUCGCCGGUGGUUUGACUCAUAAUAGUCAGAAUAGUCUUGGUAAUGUGUGCUACAUUUGACCUAUAUCUAGAGCAGUUAGAUGUGAAAACUGCAUUUAUUCAUGGAGAACUUGAAGAAGAAAUAUAUAUGCUCCAACCAGAAGGUUUUCCAGAAACAGGAAAGGAAAACUUGGUUUGCAGGUUGAACAAAUCUCUAUACGGUCUCAAACAGGCGUCGAGGUGUUGGUAUAAGAGAUUUGAUUCCUUCAUCAUGAGCCUUGGAUACAAAAGACUCAGUUCAGACCAUUGUGCAUAUUAUAAGAGGUUUAAAGAAAAUGAUUUCAUUAUUUUGUUGUUGUAUGUGGAUGACAUGUUGGUAGCAGGCCCUAACAAAGAUCGAAUCCAAGAAUUGAAGGCACAAUUGGCUAGGGAAUUUGAAAUGAAGGACUUGGGACUAACAAACAAGAUUCUAGGGAUGCAAAUUCACCGAGACAGAAAUAACAUGAAGAUUUGGCUUUCACAGAAGAACUACUUGAAGAAAAUCUUACGGCGCUUCAACAUGCAAGAUUGUAAGUCAAUUUCUACCCCACUUCCUGUUAAUUUCAAAUUAUCCUCAAGUAUGUGUCCUAGCAAUGAAACAGAGAGGAAUGAAAUGUCUCGAGUACCGUAUGCAUCAGUAGUGGGAAGUUUAAUGUUCGCUAUGAUAUGUACUAGACCAGACAUUGCACAAGCAGUGGAAGCAGUUAGUCGAUACAUGACGAAUCCUGGUGGAGAGCAUUGGAUAGCUUUGAAGAGGAUUCUGAGAUACAUUAGAGGAACCUCAGAUGUUGCAUUAUGUUAUGGAGGAUAAGAGUUUACUGUCAGUGGCUAUGUGGAUUCAGAUUUGCAGGAGAUCUUGAUAAAAGAAAAUCCACUAUUGGCUAUGUGUUUACACUUGCAGGAGCAACUGUAAGCUCUUUACACAAGAAGAAGACAUGAGAACUUGUACCACUACCACGUGGAAGAAAAACCAUUGGAAACAAAUGGGUCUACAAGAUCAAACGUGAUGGCAAUGACCAAGUGGAGCGGUAUCGUACGAGAUUGGUGGUGAAAGGAUAGGCUAAGAAAGAAAGUAUUGACUUCAACGAGAUAUUUUCGCCGGUGGUUUGACUCAUAAUAGUCAGAAUAGUCUUGGUAAUGUGUGCUACAUUUGACCUAUAUCUAGAGCAGUUAGAUGUGAAAACUGCAUUUAUUCAUGGAGAACUUGAAGAAGAAAUAUAUAUGCUCCAACCAGAAGGUUUUCCAGAAACAGGAAAGGAAAACUUGGUUUGCAGGUUGAACAAAUCUCUAUACGGUCUCAAACAGGCGUCGAGGUGUUGGUAUAAGAGAUUUGAUUCCUUCAUCAUGAGCCUUGGAUACAAAAGACUCAGUUCAGACCAUUGUGCAUAUUAUAAGAGGUUUAAAGAAAAUGAUUUCAUUAUUUUGUUGUUGUAUGUGGAUGACAUGUUGGUAGCAGGCCCUAACAAAGAUCGAAUCCAAGAAUUGAAGGCACAAUUGGCUAGGGAAUUUGAAAUGAAGGACUUGGGACUAACAAACAAGAUUCUAGGGAUGCAAAUUCACCGAGACAGAAAUAACAUGAAGAUUUGGCUUUCACAGAAGAACUACUUGAAGAAAAUCUUACGGCGCUUCAACAUGCAAGAUUGUAAGUCAAUUUCUACCCCACUUCCUGUUAAUUUCAAAUUAUCCUCAAGUAUGUGUCCUAGCAAUGAAACAGAGAGGAAUGAAAUGUCUCGAGUACCGUAUGCAUCAGUAGUGGGAAGUUUAAUGUUCGCUAUGAUAUGUACUAGACCAGACAUUGCACAAGCAGUGGAAGCAGUUAGUCGAUACAUGACGAAUCCUGGUGGAGAGCAUUGGAUAGCUUUGAAGAGGAUUCUGAGAUACAUUAGAGGAACCUCAGAUGUUGCAUUAUGUUAUGGAGGAUAAGAGUUUACUGUCAGUGGCUAUGUGGAUUCAGAUUUGCAGGAGAUCUUGAUAAAAGAAAAUCCACUAUUGGCUAUGUGUUUACACUUGCAGGAGCAACUGUAAGCUGGGUUUCGAAACUGCAAACCGUUAUGGCUUUAUCUACAACAGAAGCAGAGUACAUGGCAGCUACACAAGCUUGCAAGGAAGCUAUUUGGAUACAAAGGUUAUUAGAGGAGCUUGGGCACAAACAAGAGAAAAUUUCCGUGUUUUGUGACAGUCAGAGUGCCUUGCAUAUUGCAAGGAAUCCAGUCUUUCAUUUUAGGACAAAGCACAUAGGAGUUCAGUAUCACUUCGUUUGAGAAGUAGUGGAAGACGGAAGUGUGGAUUUAUAGAAAAUCCAUACGAAGGAGAAUCUUGCAGAUGUUUUGACCAAGCCGAUAAAUGCUAACAAGUUUAUCUGGAGUAGAUCCUCUUGUGGCCUAGCAGAAACGUAGGCAACAUGAUUAUAAAACGGCCAUCUAGAUGGUCAACAACAACUUUGUUCAAGGAGAAGAAAAUUUGACAUUUGGCAACAACAGUUCUUGAAGAAGGAAGGAGAAGAAACUUUGACAUUCAAUGGCGGUGAAAAAAAAAUUAUUUUAAUAGCUAAUUUUGGCUAUAAAAAGGGAGAGCUCCCAUUUCGAUUUUAGCAUUCAAUUUGUGAGAAAAUAACAAGGAGAGAGCUUGAGAGAUUUUCAGAGUUUAAAAUUAUAAAGCUCUUGAGAGUCUAGUGAGUAAGAGAUUGAGUGUAUUGGAAUUUUGGAUAGUGAGCCAAAAUAUUACAAUACUUGUAAUCCUUAUUUCACUAGUGAAAUAUUUUCCUUCUGUCUUCGCCCGUGGACGUAGGCUAAAAGCCGAACUACGUAAUUUCUGGUGUCCUUUAUUGUGCUUAUUCUUUAUUUUUCUUCCAAUUUUAUUUUAACUGCGGUCCUACUUCACCCACCAAUUUUCUAACAAUGGUAAUACUUUUACUUAACUAUUUAACGUAGCUAUUGGAUGUUUAUAUAUGAUCAAGCAUUUAUAAUUUUUUUUCUUAUCAAUAAGUUUACGAUAAUUUUAUUUUUUCUUCAGGGUCUUAAUUAGGCUAGAUAAUUUGGCUAUAGUAACUCUCAAGAAGCAUAGACUCAUAGUGCCAAUGAAAUACUUUCUUCACUGAGUAACAUGUUUAAAAUUGGUUUUUUUUUUCUUUUUUUGUUUCCAUAGACCUUCUCUCUUAAUUCGAUGUUUAUAUUAGAUAAGUCCUCCUGAAUUUUGCUUCAAUGAUGAUUUUGCUUACGUUUUCAGGGAUUUUAGAACUGUAUAAAAGGAUCAUUAUUGGUGGCAAAGAAAUUUUUAUUCAAGGAGGGAAAAGAACUGUUUUCUUUUCUUAAUUUGUUGUAAUAUUUCUGUCCCACUUUCAUACUUUACGUUAUGUCAACUCCAUUAAAUUCAUAUGUUAGUUGUCUAUUGACAAUUUGCUAAUGUAUAAUUUUCAGUUUGAUGUAAUCAUUAUUAAUUUUAUUUUAACAUUAUUAAAUUUGUGAUGUAUAAAAAGAAUUAAGAUUUCUUAUUAAAAAUUAAAUAAAAUAAUUAGUGGCAAUUUUGCUCUACCAUGAACUAAUAUUAUUACGUAAUUAUCUCCAACUUCCAAUGGCAAUAAACAAAUAUGGUCUUUAAUACCUACAGCAUAUUGGUAAACGCAGUUCAAAUUUUUAACUAAAAGUAUAAUUUUGGUUACAUUAGUGAAAUAGUUAUUGCCGUCUAAAUGAUAAUUAACGACCUAUAAUUUCUGCCGUCAUUUACUUUUAACAGUAAAUUUGACAGCAUGUAAUGUAUGCCGUGAAAUGUUGCUUACUUUCCACGGUUUAUGAAUCAAUAACAUAUAAAUCUACGCCGUCUUAACUUUUAACGGCACAUUUGCAACGCAGUUGAAAGUCCUUUUUGUUUUAGUGGCUAUUUGUAUCUAAAAUUAUUUUUUGAAUAUUAUAUUACUUUGAACACUCUAUUACUUUAAACACUACUACUUUUAACACUCGUCUACUAAAUUUUUAUUCCGUGCACUCGUUAAAAUACUAAAAAUUCCCUAUGUUCAACUGUUUAAAUUAAUAAUCUCUAUUUAUGCUACAUACUUAGAAAACUAUUCAAUAUACCCAAACAAAAUUCUUAAAAAUUUAAAUAGAUACUUGCAACACUAAAAUCAAGCCAAAUUUUGUAUAUGUACCUUUUUUACUCAGUUUUCAAGUUAUUUUUUCAAAAAGUCUUUUAACUUCUGCCAAAUUCGGAGUUCUUCAUUUUAAUUCUUUUCAUUAUUUUGUGUAAUAGAUUUAUCUAUUUUAAUAUUUAAUCUAGGGAAAUUAAAAAAAAAAAGAAAGAAAGGAAAAAAACGGGGGAAUGAAAAAGCAUUUUGCUGUAGGGUGAUAAUAUUGUAGUAAUCCAUAGAGGCAUAUAUAUAUAUAUAUCUGCUGUACCGUACAUACUGCGAGGUUUUAAAAUUUUCUCACACUUUUCUACACUUUAAAAUUUCAGACUGUAACAUUUUUAUAUCUAUAUAUAAAAAAAAAUGGAAUAUUGCACAGAAAUUUAGAUGUUUAGGCAUUAUAUGAAAAAAAUUGGCAUCGCUGCUGCUGUUCUUGACGAAGACAACACUGCUGCAGCUCUCGACGUGUGAUGAUGCUGCUUUUCUCGGUGCGCCCAAGUCUUCCUAUGCACCACAAGACGACGAUGACGCUAAUGUCGUUGCCUGGUCCCAUUCAGUCACGUGAAUUUAUUACAGUACUAAACAUUUUUAGCUUAAAAUUAUUAUUGGUCACGACAAUACUAAACAAAAUUUCUGUCGCGUGAAUCCAUAAUUGUGGGGGAGCACGUUCUUGCCGCAGCUGGACCACCCGAUAAAUGCAAAAAGCAGGGUUACAAAAGCUUUGGUGCUGGCUGACAUAUCGACAAGGAUUGCAUAUCACCUCUCAAAAGCACUAUAAGGGAAGGAAACAUGGCUUAACUCCACGUGGAAUCCACUGGUCAAAGAUAGGAUUAACUACCCCCAACCUGCCUAUAUCUCACAAAUGCCGCCCAAGAUAAUUCUAGUGAUGAAGAAGAGUUUAUGGCCUUUUCUCCUAGCUCCAUGCAACAUGAACUUACUGGUGAGAACUCUAUCGGAGAAAAUAUAAGGCCUGAAAAGAGAAAUUUUCUCGAAAGUUGAUUAGAAAAUUUUAAAUAAUUUCUUCUGUUUUGAAGGGAUUAGGAUUUUCUCCUUAUUUUUUAUUUUUUUUUCAUUACCUUCAUAAGCUAGUGAAAAAUAAACUUAAUUAUAAAUAAAGUGAAAAAUAAAUACAAAACUUAAUUUCAAUCACUAAUAAAAUAAUAAUAUGAGGUAAGGGGGAAAAAGGACAAAAAGAGUAUCCCUUGUCCAUUUUGAGGAAGUCUCCAACUUAAGAUGAAUUUGAAAUUGGAACUUCACAUAAACGAAGGGGCAAAAAAGGGCAUUGUAAUUUCUUUUCUUUUUUUUUUGGUAAAAGAAACGAGCCUAUCAAAAGGCUUAACAAAAGGAGGGAACCUAUUCCCUAUACAAACACUAUGAAGCCAAGCUUCAAUACAAUCAGGAGGACUACUAAGAAUGUGGAGGCCAAUAGGUAGUGACAGUGUAAUUCACAAGGAAAUAGAUCCUAUUCCCUAUACAAACACUCUGAAGCCAAGCUUCAACACAAUCAGGAGAAAUGCUAAGAAUGUGGAGACCAAUAGGCAGUGACAAAGCGUAAUUCACAAGGAAAUCUGCUCAAAAUAUUCCUCACGAUUACCGUGACGCAGCAAGACUUGCCAGUUACGAGAUAAAAGCUUUAGGAUGCCGCUAAUAAGAGGAGAAGAAGCAUUACGACAACAUCUUUGGUCUGCAAUAAUUGAAUAACACACAUGCUGUCAACUUCAGCUUGAAGCACCCGAGUACCCUUAUUCCAAGCUAAGGUAAGGCCCUGAUAAAGAACCCAAAGUUCAGCAAUUGUGAUAGAACAUAUCCCAGCUAAAGCCUUCUAUCCAUUCACCAACAGUGUUCCUGAUUAAACCACCGGCAGAUGCUACCCCUGAGUACUUCCUCACUCCAUCCGUGUUCGACUUAAAGAAAGGCCAAGUUGGAGGCACCCAACCAAAAUAUUUCUCCAUUCUACUAUUGUGCUUGACCUCAAAAGUAAUAGUCAGUCUAUGGAUCACUUCUGCUCUAGACAUGAUGUCCAUACGCAUGGAAUCAAUGCUGACGGAGGCUCUUUCACACAUCAGUUUUUUAAACCAAAACCAAAUUCUCUAAAUGGCCACCCCAAAAAUGCACAACCAUGCGUAGUUACCAUCCCAAUGGCUAUUAUUCUUUAAACUCAACAUAAUCCAAUCUCGAAAAGGCAGAUUAAUGAAAUUAUCGUGAGCAUUACAAGGCCCAAGCAAGCUCCAAAUUCUCCUUGCCACAAUACAAUCACGUAACACAUUAACUGCAUCUUCGACAUAACCAUUACAGUGAGGACAGGUAACAUCUGAAAUUAUAUGACGUCGGAAAACCUCAGCUUUGCAUUUUAAUCUCCACUGAACAGCAAGCCAAAGAAAAGUUCUAAUUCUCUGGGGUCCCCUCCAUUUCCAGAUGAGGUUCCAGUUAGAGUCCUGCACAUUAAGGAAGUUUCGGUGAAGAUGUUUAUAAGCUGAUUUAACCAUGAAAGUACCCGAGUUUGAGAAGGCCCAAUAGAAUUGAUCACACGUGCAGCAAGGAUUAGGAGGCUUAAUCCCCACAAUCUUCAACAACACAUGAUUCGGAAGAAGAUGGCAAAAUAGGUUUCAAUUCCACGAUCCACUAGGCGUGAUAAAAUCAACAACGGAACUGCUAACUUAGUCCUCAGGAAUCUGAGUAAUUGAGAGGCCAUAGAGUGGCACAUCAAGAGCCCACAUAUUCCAUCAAAAGCUAACUUUCAAACCAUUCCCCACAUUCCACCGCAGGCCACCAACAACGUAAUGCCAAAUCUUCCCAAGAGCCUUCCAGACAUAAGAGCCAUAUCUCGUGGGAAGAGUCGAAGUUAGGGAAUUAGGAUCGAAACCAUAUUUAGAACAGACCACUCGAACCCAAAAAUUGUUUGGAGAAGUCAAAAUACCCAACCAGCUUCAUUAACUGUGCAUCAUUCAUUAGCUGCAAGUCUUUGAAGCCCAGAUCCCCACAUUCUUUCGGCUGACAUAAAUUGGCCCCAUUGACAAGGUGAAGCUUCUUAGACUCAGAUGCGCCGCACCAAAUAAACUUCCAACAAACUUUUUCAAUCUUGUUGUUAAUAUUAGUCGGCAAUCUUGUAGGUGGCAUGGAAUAGAUGGGUAAGGCUUGAAUCAUAGACUGAGUAAGAGUAAUUCUACCAGCAAGAAACAACAACUUGGCACUCCAACCACUAAGGCAAUUUUCAACUCUUUCCAAAAUGCCCUGAUAUGUAGCUUUAUUAACACAAGAGUGGAGGAUUGGCAUACCCAAGUAUUUUCCUAAGUCUUUUGUGAUCGAGAAGUGUCGGACCAAUUCUGUUCACAUCAGCAGACUUCACAUUAUAAGGAAAAAAAAAAAAAAACUGAGUUUUUUUAUUGUUGACAUUCUCAUCCGAAAUAUCACAAAAACUGUAAAGGAAUUCAUGGAUCACCGUUGCUUGGUCACAAGAGGCUUCAGCAAAAAGAAGGAGAUCAUCCAAAAAAGAAGAGAUGGGUGAUGGGAAUACCUCAGCGAGAAAGGUGAAUGGGCUUCCAACUACUGCUUUGGACCAUACGGUUAAUCCCGGUAAUUGCCUUUCAAUACAGAGAACAAAAAUAUAAGGCGAAAAAAGGUCAUCCUGCCUAAUUCCUCUGGAAGUAGAUCGACCAGUCCAUAAAAUUUGCAUUGUAACUAAUGAGAUACAAUACAUAAUAAAACAAAUUCAGCCAGCAGGUAACCUAACUUCACAAAGGGUCUCACGGAUGAAACUCCAACUGAGGCGAUCAUAAGCUUACUCAAGAAUUGUGCGGCGGCCGAGUCGGGGCAGGCGAGGGGGGCACGGGUUAAGUAGAUUUGCAGUGCACAUGUUGAUGGGUGCGACCAUACCAGCACUAAUGCACCGGAUCCCAUCAGAACUCCGCAGUUAAGCGUGUUUGGGCGAGAGCAGUACUAAGAUAGGUGACCUCUUGGGAAGUCCUGCCUAUUUGAAGCUAUUUUAGUAAUUGUUUUAUAGAUCAUAGAGCAUAGGCUAAUCGGUCUAUACAUUCUGAGGCUGCUUGGCUGAUCAUUUUUGGGAAUUAAGACAAUCAAGGUCUUGUUUAUUGCAUGAGGAACUCCAGUGUCGUUGAAAACAUUUUUCACCAAAUUACAAACUGAUGCGCCAACUAUAUGCCACUGGGAGCGAUAAAAAAAUGCGUGAAGACCAUCAAUUCUAAGAGCUUUAAAAGGCUGCAUGAUAAAAUGGCUUCUUUUAUCUCCCAAUCAACAAGAAUUGCAUUUAAUCUCUCCAUUUUUAAGCAUCAACGGUUGGAAAAUCCCCCACAAUCGGAUAACUUUUAUGAAGAUCUUUAUCCUUGGUAUACAGCCUCUUGAAGGAGGACAUUGCAUAGGUUCUAAUUUGAGCUUCGUCAUAAAUCCAAUUCCUAUUGUCAUCUUUAAGCUCCAUUUGGUACAGUUUUUCAAGUAGAGCUUAUUUAAGUAGAUUUUUUUAUUAGUAGAGUUUUUAUAAAUAGAACUUUUACCAAAAAAAGAAAUUUUUUGUUGUUUGGUUGUCAAUAAGAGUUUUUAUUAAAAAUUUAUGAAAUUACUUUAAUAGACAAAUUUUUUAAAAUUAUAUUAUGAAAAGAAUAAAAUAAGAUUAUCAAAAAAGUAAAGGAUAUUUCAGAUAUUUUAACAUUUAAAAAAAAACUUUUCAACAUUUACUCUAAAAAAUCCAAAAUUUGAGGUUUUGCUAGUAGAGGAAAAAUAAUUUAUUUAAUUUUCAAAAGCUUUAUUAGAAAAAUAACAAAAAUUAUUAUAAGAGUUUAUUGAAUUAAAUGAGCACUUAUGGUUAUUAAAUAAGUCAUACCAAAUAUGCACUUAAUCAUAUCAGUUUUGUUCCUCAUUCUCUGAAGAACCUUGCAGUGAAAGUAGGUUUCCUAUCCCCUUAGCUAAUCUACUCCCUCUUGGAUUUUGAUAGCAUAAGAUUUCUUCCUGGGUUAGAAUAGCCUCAAGAUCCUUUUUUUGGAGAGACUUCUAACUCAAUAAGGUUUUUGAAAUAAUGUGUCUCUAAAGCAUGCCAAAUGCCUUCCAAACAAGUUAGGGUUCUGUUUUUAAGCUGCAGAAUAUUGUAAAAACCUCUUUAUUGCACUUGUUAACUUCUCUCACAAAAUUAUCAGCCGAAUGAGAUAAUCCUCAAGAUAUCUCCAAAGUACUAAAAACAAAAUAGUCAAACAUAUUAUUUGUUAACAAAUGAACAAGAAAGCAAAAAGGUUUAGUAUUGCUGGAACGCGCCACUGGUCUUGCAGAGCAAGCAAAAAUAGGACGAUGAUCAGAAUUAAGUUUUGACAGGUGAAGAAUCUGGGGAUCAGGAAACUUCUCCAACUAAAGAUCAUUGCAAAUAACCCUAUUCAAGCGUUUCAUUAAAGUACCCCUUGCCCAAGUGAACUUACAGCCACGAAACUUAAGAUCACGCAAUUGAUUGGAACUACUGUUCAAAAUGAUUGCAGACACCGCUAGUAAAAAAAAAAGAAAAAACCUUCUUUCUUCUCCGAUGAUCAUCUUGCAACAUCAUUAAGGUCAUGCAAAAGAAGUUUUCUAAUAGAGUGGAUAGGGUUGGCAUAGACGGCUGUAACCCAAGAAACGUUUGUCAGAAUCAUUGGUAGCGAAAACGAGCUUGAUCCUUGGCCUCUUCCACGUCCAAAACUUUCUUCCACUUCCACCACCACCUCCUUUCUUCUUCUUCUUCUUCUUCAUUAUCACUGCGUGUGGUUGAGCAAUUACUAAGAUUCUGGUGACUGCGACUUCUGGAGAAAUAUAAAUGUGAUAAACAAAUGCAAAGAAAAUAAGACACAAUAAUUUACGUGGUUCGAUGUAAAUCAUACGUCCACGGGAAAAGACUAGAAGAUAAUUUUACUAACAAAUGAGAAUUUACAAAAGUGGGAAAAACUAUCAAAACUCAAUAACCUAAUACACCAAAUUGGAUCCUCACUAGAACACUCAAGUAAAAACUCUCUCAAAUUUUGCAAAUCACUUCACUUGUAAUUGCUCUCAACACAAAAUGGGAUGAUCAAGCUCUAACCUCCCCUAUCUAUUUAUAGGCAUUGCUCACCUACCAUUGCAUUCAAUUUGGCCAAUUUGUCAAAUUGGCAAAUUGAAUUUUGAAACAAAAAAAUCAACUUUGAUGGCCAUUGGAUUUGGUGCCCACAAAGCAAAGUUUGAUUUUUGUUGUUUGAUUUUUCAACAAUUCUCCAUCUCGGUGAAAAUUUUAUAAAUCUGAACCAACUAUCAACAAACCAUCAUUUAGUUUUUGUCUUCUCCAAUUGCUUUCAAACUUAUAGGAUAUUGAUCAAAUUUAGACAAUGCUCAAAUUUGAUCGCUGUCACCACCUUAGUCAACAUAUCUGCGGGAUUCUCUGCAGUCUUACUUUUUUAAAGAAGAAUCUUCCCCUCAUUAACAAUUUCCCGCACAAAGUGAAAUCGUACAUCAAUAUGCUUUAUAUGUACAUGAUAAACAUGGUUCUUUAUUAAGUGAAUAGCACUUUGACUGUCGCAAUAUACAUUAACAUGAUCUUGUAUCAAUCCCAAAUUUUCAAGCAAACCUUGUAACCAAAUAGCCUCUUUAACAGCCUCUGUAAUUGUCAUGUACUCGGCCAUUGUGGUCGACAAUGUAACUGUAGACUGUAGCAUAGACUUCUAACUAAUUGGUCCUCUAGCAAAAGUAAAUAUAUAUCCAGUGGAUGAUCUUCGUUUAUUCAAAUCACCAGCAUAAUCAUAAUCAAUGUACCAGAUCACACCUUGACCAAGUGUAUCAUCUCACUCAAAUAGUAAACCAACGUCCACGGUCUUCUGAAUGUACCGUAGAAUCCAUUUCACAGCUUGCCAAUGUACAUUACUAGGAUUAUACAUAUACAUGCUCACUAAACCAACUACAUGUGAAAUGUCAGGCCUUAUACACACCAUUGCAUACAUCAAGCUACCCACUGCAUUUGAAUACGAAACUUGUAACAUGUAUUCUCGUUCUGCAUCUGUCAAAGAAGAUAGUUGUGCAUAAAACUUGAAAAGAGAAGCCAACGGGGUACUCACAGGUUUUGUCUGCUCUGUCAUACUAAACUGUUGUAGUACCUUUUUCAAAUAUUGCUUCUGAGACAAGCUAACUUUGCCACGAGCUCUACUCUGUAGAUCUUCAUUCCAAGAAUCUUCUUAACUUCACCUAAAUCUUUCAUCUCAAAUUCUUAAUUGAGUUGAGUCUUCAACUUCUCAAUCUCAUCUUUGCUCUUAGAUCCUAUUAGCAUAUCAUCGACAUACAAGAGCAAAUAUAUAAAAGAUCCCUCUUGUAGUUUGCGAAAAUACACACAAUGAUCAAAUUUAUUUCUUGUGUACAUUUGUCCUUCAUAAACCGAUCAAAUUGUUUGUACCACUACCUCGAAAAUUGUUCAAUCCAUAAAGCGACUUUGUCAAUUUGCAAACCCAAUUUUCUUUUCUAGCAACCUUGAAUCCAUUUGGCAGAGUCAUGUAUAUUUCCUCUUUCAAAUCACUGUGUAAAAAUGCAGUUUACACAUUAAGUUGAACUAGUUCAAGAUUAAAUUGCAUAGCCAUGACUAGCAAAAUUUAAAUACACGAGUGUUUCACAAUCGAAGAAAAUACCUCAUUGUAGUCUAUUCUUUCCUUUUGAGCGUAACCCUUCGCUACCAAUCUAGCCUUGUAUCGAAUUUUAUUUUUACAAGGAAAUCUUUCUUUCUUUGUGUAUACCUAUUUGUACCAAAUUGUCUUAUUUUCUUUGGGCAGUGUAACCAACUCCCAAGUUCCAUUUUAAUGAAAAGACUACACUUCUUCAUCCAUUGCUAGCUUCCAAUGUACACUUUCAGGGCUACUUAUUGCUUCUCUGUAAAUGGAAGGAACAUUAUCAUCUACAACUGCAAGUGCAUAGGCCAUCAUAUUAACAAAACGAGCAGGUUUGUGAAUCUUCCUUCGUGGCCUUCUAUAUGUAAUUGAAUCUUGUUGUUGUGAAGGUUCUUAGGUCAGAACCUCUUCUUCAUUUUCGGUCAAUGGAGAAUUAUUAUAUGUCUCCUCAACACUGGCUGGAUUAUUUUUAACCUUUUCAAACUCCACCUACUGCAAAGUGCUACUGAUCUUGUCAACCUCUUGAGAAUAUUUUUGUUUCAACAUGGCCGAUUCAUCAAAAGUCACAUCUCUACUGAAAAUAAUCUUCUUUGUAAUAGAACACCAAAGACAAUAUCAUUUUACUCCAUCAGUUAUACCCAUGAACAUUGUUUUCUUUACUUUUGGGUCUAACUUAGAUUCCUUUAAAUGAUAAUAGGCAAUUGAACGAAAAAACAUGUAAAGAAUUAUAAUCAGUGGCAGGUUUACCAGUCCACAUCUCUAUGGGUGUUUUGCCCUCAAUUGCAGCUGAUGGCAAACGGUUGAUCAAAUGACAUGCAUAUACAACUGCCUCAGCCCAAAACUCUUUGCCCAAUCCAGCAUUGGACAACGUACAUCGAACUUUCUCCAGUAUAGUCUGGUUCAUGCGUUCUACCACCCUAUUCUGCUGUGGUGUAUCUCGAACAGUUAAGUGUUGUACAAUACCCUCAUCUUGGCAUAUUUGAAUAAAUAGAUCAUUCUUGUACUCACCAUCAAAUUCUGAGUGAAGUCUUUUGACCUUUUGACUAGUCUUAGUCUCGACCAUUUUCUUCCAUUUCAGAAAAAUAUUCAAAACUUUAUUCUUAUUCUUUAUCAAAUAUACCCACACUUUUCUUGAAUAAUCAUAAACAAAAGUAAGAAAAUAGUGCAUACCUCCCAAAGAAGUUAUUUUGGUAGGUCCCCACACAUCACUGUGAACAUAGUCCAGAACACAAUGUUCACAAAAUUCUAAUUUGCAAGAAUUUGCACCUUUCAAUAAGCCUUGUUUCACUAGAGUCUACAAUACUUUUUCACCAACAUGUCCCAAUCGUAUAUGCCACAACUUGGUUGCUUCUAAAUCUGCAUCUUUUCCAAAAUACUUAUCUAAUAAUUGCUCCCUUGGAAAUAGUACAAGUUAUUUAUUCUUGUGUCUUUCAUCACCGUCAGUGCGCCAGCUACUACCUUUAAAAAACAAUCUCUUAGAGUGAUUGUGAGCCAUUUAGAUUCAAUGACUCCUAAUGAGAUGAGAUUUUUCUUCAAACUUGGUACGUAACGAACAUCCGUUAAGAAUUGGAUUGAGCCAUCAUGAUUCUUUAAUUGGAUUGUAUCUAUUCCCAUGGUUUUACAGGCAUUGUCAUUGCCCAUGAAAACAACUCCACCAGCUAGCUCCUUGAAGCUAAAAUACUAGCCCUUGUUAGGACAUAAAUGAUAAGUGCAACCCGAAUCCAAAAUCUACUCAUCUGAAUGACAUGUUGACGUCAUGCCAACCAGACUAAAGUCUGACUCCUCAUCAUGCUCUGCUACACAUGCAUCAGAAAUAACCUUGCCCUUUUGUAACUUAAGACAAUUAUUUUUCUAAUGCUCUUUCUCGCGAUAAAAAGCACAUUCAUCUUUGGCAAACCUCCCUUUAGACUUGCUUCCUUUUCCAGGUUUGCGGCUUUGUGAAUGACCUCUCGCUGUCAAUACUUCUACAAUUGUAUCUUUGUGAUCCUUUCGGUCUUUCUUUCUAGCCUCAGAGUU
rnacentral:lncRNA from 1 species